rnacentral:lncRNA from 1 species
CCUGGAUUCCCCUCUGGCAGAGAUUUAAAGCAACAGCAUAGGCAACCUUAGAGAGAUUGCCUCUAUGAAGCACUUGUGUUGUUCCUUUAGGUAUGCUAUUCAGCACUGCAGCAACGGCUAGACUGCUUCCAUCCACCACCUUCGUUUUGAGCCUGGGAUGCCUUUGCACAUAAAGUUCACCAUACCUAUUAAGCUCCUCUCCCUGCAUAAUUUAUGUUUGAACAUGAUGAAGAUAUAAUUAAUAAUUUAUGGUAUCCAUGAAAUAUGGGAAAUUGAAAAGAAAAAAAAAAACCCUAUAAACUCAACUACGUGGCAUCUAGUAAUGGCCGUUCUAAAGUAACCACCACUGUUUUUUUUUCCCUAGAAAUGCAUUAUAUUGAAGUGCUUGCCUGAUUCAAGAGACCGAGACUUAACACUUUAACACCUUUUUCCUCAGCUUCAAGUACAGCUUCUUCAAUCAAGGUAUUUAUGGAUACUUUUUGCCAUCGCAAGUUGUACUGCCAAAAAUUAGAUAAGCAAAUUAAGGAGAACAGAUUAAACUGAACGCCCUUGAUUAAUCAAUGACAAAGAAAUAUCCUUCUUAAUUACUUGAAUAUUGUAUUUUGGUAAGGUCCACGUCUGUAAUCUGAGUUUGUGGAAGCGAUUCCUCUCGACAACAAAAGUGCGUCCAUAAGUCCAAGUUAACAUCAUGGUCCACAAGGUCACCGGCCACAUUAACCAUAGAUACCACUUCGAUUCUUGAGGGUUGGAAGCCAAGCAGGCAAGUCCAAGCCGUAAAUGAUAGAUGGAAUCUGGUGUGGUAAGAUGAGUUAGAUGCACUACAUCAGGGGCUUCCUCGGGUCUCUUGAGCGAAUCUUCAUAGAGGGUAACAGAAGACGUGUCCAUUGUGCCAUAGAUGUAAUCAUAGAUGGGCAUGAAUAGUGAGUAAUUGGUUCUGAAUUGAGUGUGGUGAAGAGAGUGGUACCUGCAGCCAUAUCAAGUGUUUAUUAGUUCAUCAUGGAGGGAGUAACUAGUUCUAAACUGGCUUUGGUGAAGAGAGUUGGAACUUGCAGCUGCAUCAAAUGUUAAAUCAUGCAUUCGCGCUUAUCAGAUAUUGUUUUGAACACUGAUUAAUAGACAACGCAAUAAUGCACUGUCAGUGAAAAUAUAGUGGAAAAGGUGAAAUGUACGCGUCAAAGCUAUUAAAAUACAGUAUAAAAUCACAAAACGAUACUAUGGAAUUAUAAUUAACAGAGUAUUUUCCAUAGACGACUGUAUAUUCUUUUCAUCUUCUUUUUAUGCAAAAUUUGGUGAAUCAUUUUCCUGCUUUUUGUUCAUAAGUAUGGAAGAAAUCCCAUUAAUAAAACGAAGAGGAUACUGGUGAGAAUUAAUGAUUGAAAAUGCAAAAAAUCAACUGAGAUACAUCUAGACUUACGAUGGGGUGUACAUGAGGUACUUGAGAGGGGGGAAAAUGAUGAAGAGCCAUCUGGGAAUGAGUUCAAAGUUGCAGUGACCCAUGUUGUUCAUCAAGUCGAUGUAAGUGAUAUAACCAGCAAAGGAUGUUAAAGAGGCUGUCCCCGUCACAAUAGUCGUUAUCAAAGGUAUUGCGAAUAGCAUGGAGUAGGAUAUGUGCUCGGCGAAUGGAUGAAUCACAGCUGCGAUGCAGAUUUCCAGAAAGAAAAUGUCAAAUAAUUACACUUACUGUAUAUCAUCAUCAUGUAUUGCUAAUAGUAAUGGAGAAUGGUAUGCGUUCCCCUCAAUCACACACAAGAUUUUUCUUCCGUUAUUAUAAAAAUACGCGAACUUAAAACCUUCUAUGAAAGGUCAAUUAAACUAAGUUUAUCAACGAUCACACAAGAUUAUUAAUAAUUCAAAUGCACACCAUAUAUAAAUGUGUGUCAUUCUUCUUAAGGAGUACUUAAGAGAUUAACUAUUCACUUUGAAAUUCUUAAAUAACUUUUAAACCACCAACACCAUAUAUACAUGGGGGCCGGGGGUGUUUGGAGGGAGACUUACAAGUAAUGGGCUCUGUGACAAUGGAGGAAUGGUGGUGGGAAUGAUAGCGAGAGUAGAGAUAGUGGUGAUGAAGAAGUCGAUGAAGCCAAUAAUACAGAAAUUCCACCGGACCCAUAUGAAUCAGAGCUGUUAGAAUUACACCAUCUAACCUCCACAUGGGGAGAUGGCUAGCUCCUGGAAUUAUUUUGCUACCAACGUAGAAUAAAAUUCCAUUGAACAAUAUUUGGUCAUCCCUGCGGAUAUCCAACCAGAAAAUCCAAGUAUCAAAAAACUCACAAGCACUAGAGUGGAAAUUAAUGCAUGAAAUUAUUGAAAAAGUAUAUAUAUAUAUUUGAUUAUACAAAUACCAGUUGCUUUCUCUAUCAACUUGAUCAAAUUCAAUGCCUUUGUCAAUAAUCCUGUUAUUUCCUUUGGCUGUUCUGUAACGGGACAGGCUGAUCCAUAACUGGUUGUGAAGAACUCUCCACAACAGAAUUGGGAAAAUGAGAAAGCUUGGGAGAUCUUUUUCAUCUUUAACCAUAAAGGCGUAGAUGUUGUGAAUGACACAAGGAGCCAAUAUUACAUGCUGCAAUAUUUAAACACACAAACAAAACACAGAUAUAUAUUAUUGUUUUAGGGUUAUGAUAUAUUAACGUUGUUUGCACGAAAACGAGUUACUCUACGUGUGAUAUCAGAUAACGAGAAGAAAAGGAGCGAGAGAGAGAGAUGGGAGGGAUUUCCAUAUGACCUUAAAGCUUCCAAGAGGUUUCCAUGGCCAGUCUGUGAGAAUUCCAGGCCGAGAAGCCAUCACUUCACUGCUACUACUUGUCUUUGUUUCCUCGCUUGUAGCUAGGGAAGUCGUGUAUUUAUAGACGAUGAGUAAUAUAUUUUCUUUAGCGUUAACGUUAUAAUUAUUGAUGAGUAAUGUUUUUUUAAUAACAGUACUGCCGCUCGAUCAAGUUAGAGCUGAGUAAAUUAUAAAUUAAUCCUUUUAAUUUUGGAAAAUAAAUUAAUUAGUCAUCUUCUUAAAAAAAAAACAAAUUAUUCAGUUUUUUUGAUCUAUUAUAUGUUAUUUUCUAAAUUAUGUUUUAAUAAAUAAAUAGAUAUUAUGGAAAGAUUGAUGAGAAAAGUAGAUAUUUUUGUAAAUAAAUUAAUAUGAAAGUAAGCAUGAUUAACAAUGAUAAGUGAUUAAAUAAUUAAAAUAGAUUGGUCAACCAUAUUUGUAAAACGAUACAUGUUUCAAUAUACUAAACUCUCUUGCAGGGUAUUCUUUGUCUUUUUACCAUGGCUUUCUUUUUAUUAAUAUCAAGGUUACUCAUGAUGAUUAUUAUAUAUAAUCAUAUAUUAAAUAUUAUUAAAAAAAAAUUUAGUUUGUGCGUCGAGCUAAUAAGCAGGCGUCAUGUCAUUUGGACAGUAUAUGUGAGGUCAUGCAGUUAUCAAACACCACCUACUGCAGUAGUAUUUGAAUCAUCUCAGCGUCAUCUCCUUGAAGAGGUGACACGUGUUUCAAACGACCCUUCAGUUUGGCAUCAAUGGUCUUUUCAUCCUUUUCUUUUUUUCUCUAUCUUGAUUUUCGCACUACCCCUUAAAAAUCUUAAAACAUCCCAUUCAAUUUGUAUUUUAUUAAGAUUUUGUUCUUUUUAUUUUUAUUACUAAUUAUUUUAUUUUGAAUAACUUAUAGAAUUAGAAUUCUUUUUCAAUUUCAUCCCCCUUCAAUUUUUUAACCUUUCAAAUUUGGUCAUCAUUCUUUUAAUUGUUGUUUAUUUUAUUUGAGAUAAUUUUUAAAAUUGAUUUUUUUUCCAUUUUAUCCUCAUUGAGUUUUUUCCUAUCAAAUUUGAUCCUUUUUCUUUUGAUUGGUAUUUUUUAUUUUGAAAGAAAUUUUAAAUUUAUUUUUUUUCAAUUUCAUCCUUGAACAUUAAAUUAAUUGGGAAUUGAGCUUUUCAGUUGAGCUCAGGUCUAGGAUUUCAUGGGCUGCAAGUUUUAAAGAUUAGCCAAGGUUUAGAAGGCUUGCUCGGAUUUGCUUGAUUUUUUUUAUUCAUUUAGGCUUUUUUUUACUUUCAUCCAUUUAUUCAAUUUGAGAUUAAGCUCCAUUAUUUUUAUUUAUUUUAUUGUUUUAGAAUUUUACACUAAUUUUUAAAAUGUACCAGGUUAUUUCAGGUCUUUUUUUUAUUUUUCGUUCUUUGUUGAAUUUCUUUUGCCAAUUUUUUAAAUUGAUAAUUUUUUUAUAAUUUCAUCUUUCAAUAUCUAGAAUAAUUUUUUUAUAAAAUUAGAAUUCUUUUUCAAUAUUGUCAUUUUUGAAUUUCUUAAUCUUUCAAAUUUGGUCCUCAUUCUUUUAAUUGUUAUUAUUUUUAUUUAAGAUAAUCUUUUAAAUUAAUUUUUCUUACAAUUUCAUCCUUAUUAGGCUUUUUCUAUCAAAUUUGAUCGUCAUUCUUUUGGUUGCUAUUUUUCUACUUUGAAAAUUUUUUCAAAUUCAUAUUUGUUUUUCGAUGUCAUCCUUAAACAUUAAAUUAGUUAAAAAUGGGGCUUCUUGAUUGAGCCGUAGUAUGAGAUUUCAAUGUUGAAUGAUAUUGUGAAUUUCACUUUUGCUUCUUCCAAACAUCAUUUUGUGUUAAAAUUGACUAAAAAAUAUGAAGUUCGGGAGUUGAUAAUAACUGGAGAACUUGAGAAUGUUAUAAAGGCAAAUGAAGCUUCUAUUUUACAUCAACCUGAAACAACUAGUUAGGAUUCUCAUUUUAGUUCAAUAAGGAGUUUAAUUGAGUUAUUUGAAACAACAACAACAACAUUGCUAUUAAAGAUUGAAGAAAAUGGACCAAACUUUCAAUUUCAUACUAAGGCUUUCAAAUAUUCUUUUGCCAUGACAACUUUUGACUUUGUCAUUGUCUUACUUUUUACUAACAAAGUUAUGAGAGUUUAUUGAUUUUCUUUAACAAACACUUCAAAGAAAAGAUUAAGAUAUUGUAUAUGCUUUAAAUUUUAUUUCAUAUUCAAAUUUUCAACUUCAAUGUUUGAGGGAUAGCGAUUGGGAUGAUCUAUUUAAAAGUUUGGUAUUUUUUUGUGGACAACAUGAUAUUGAGAUUCUUGAUAUAAAUUCUCCUUAUAAGAUUGAUACAAGUCGUUCUUAUUAAUAAAGAGAUUCUAAUAUAGUUAAGUAUCAUUAUCAAUAUGAUAUAUUUAACACUGUGUAAUAUAUUUUUAACUGAUGGAUUUAAAUCAUAUAUUUUCAUAAAACACAGUGGAGUUGCUUUAUCUUGGAUCAGCAUUGAAUCAUUUUUAUGCCUUCACAUCAUUUAAAAUUGACGAUACAUGUAAGUUUGCUGAGAAAUUAUAUCCUGAAGAUUUUGCUCUUAUGAAUUUACAUGGUUCAAGAAUACAGUUGGAAUAUUAUAAGUUGUCAAUGGAUCAUCCAAACUUUGAGAAUAUUGAUUAUCUUGCUACAUUGUAUCAUCGUUUAGUUGACACAUGCUUGACAAAUGAUUUGGACUUGGUUAGUAGAAUGAUUCGAAUGGUACUAGCUCUUCUUGUUUUUUCAUCAAUGACUAAACAAACCUUUUCAUCUAUGAAGUUCAUUAAAAAUCAGCUUUGAAGUAAAUUGGCCUCUUUAGGCCGACACCAGCACCGUCUCGUUGCCAUUAAGCCUGAGCUGUUCACAGUUGUAGAGAAAUUCCAUUUGCGUGAGUAGUAUUAAUCAAGAUAAUAAAUUUCAAACACCAUCAUCUUCUGGCGACCCUCGUCUGGUACAGCGGCUUAAGGAAAAUAGGAAGCCAAUGAGCUCAAGCAAAUGGACAUGUCCUUCAAACACGAGAGCACCUGCUAUUGCCCGGUCAUUUUACAUGGUCCCACCUAUGCUGGCGAUUAUUCAAUUCUUACUUGUGAGUUUCGUGAACAUUGUAGAAUUGCUUACUCUCCUGUUGGCUUGAAAUGAUUAAUUUUCUGGAUGAGUAUCUCAUAUGCAUUAAAUAAGUGGAUUUCGUUAAUUAUUCUCAUAAAUCUAAUAGUUUGUUUUUUGGUAAGUAAAUUCUGUAAAAUACUUAUAUAAAAAUAGCAUUAUUUAUUAUAGAAAUGUGAUGUAAAUGUCAUUGGUUCAAUUAUGUUAAUGGGUUCGUGAAAAACUCUAACAAGUUUUUUUUUUUUUUAAUUACGAAGAACUAGAAAGUGAGAAGAUUGGACUUAAGUUGCAUGUAUAUAAAAUUAUUAUAAAAAGUGACAUGAACAUUUUUAUACAGGAUAUUUAUUUUUAUUUUUAUUUUUAUUUUUUUAAAGUGAAUUUUAAAAAAUAAUUAAUAGGAUAUCACUGGUUAUUUAUUAAGCAUAAAAAAAUUUAUUUUUGAAAUCUUAAAUUUAUAUUAAUAUGGAAAAAAAUGAAGUUUAAAAAAUUAUGCUAUGUUUAUUUAAUCUUAAAUUAAAAAAAUAAAAUUAAAAAAAUUAGUGUUCACGUCAACGUGAACAGUGUGAGUGAAUAUUAAUUAAUUUACUGUCUAUUUUUUUUUGUUUAAAUAAAAUUUAAAGAAUUAUGCCGUGUUUAUUUAAUCUUAAAUUAAAAAAAGAAGAUAAAGAGAUCACAUUAAGAGUUUUUAAGUAAUUAGAUUAUGAAAACUUUUUUUGUUUUUUUGAACACAUCAAGAGCACUGAAAAACUAGUAAUAUUGUAACAUUAAAGCAUACGUUUCAGUAUUUAGUAUUGUAAAACUGGAAGUAAUUAUUAACAAUUAAUAAUUAACGGCACUACAUAUGCGAGCAGGCUGUCGUUUCUCAUUUUAAUUAUUUCAUCAGAAAUAACAUGUGCCAAUAAAUGUGAGGGUGCUUUUUCUGCUAGCUGCGGCAAGGUUUGUUGCCGACAGUGAUUUUGUUUUCGUUUUUUUUUUUUUUUGUUUUUUCCCUCAUCUUACACUGUUAUUCAAAAAUUUUAGAAUUGUCGGUGCCCGCAUUUUAACUUUGGAUUUUAUUUUUGUUUUUAUUUCUUUUAUAAAAUCUUAAUUUAUUAUUUAAUUUUAAUUUGUGAUAUAUUAUUUUUUUCAAUUUAGUCUUUAUUUUUUUAAUUAUUUUUUUUUCAAGUCCUUUUGUUAAAUUAAUUUUUCUUUUUGGUUUCAUACUUCAAUCAAAAAUUUAUUUUUAUUUUUACUUUAAUUAUGAUCCUAAUUAUUUUAAUUAUUUUUUUAUCCUUUUGUUAAAUUUAUUUUUCUUUUCAAUUUUAUCCUUCAAUCAAAAAUAAAAUUUAUUCUUUAUUUCAAUUUUGAUCAUCAUUCUUUUAAUUAUAACCUUUUGUUUUAGAUCCUUUUAUAUAAUUGAAAUUUCCUUUCUAAUUACAUCUUUCAAAAUUUGAUUUAUUAGGAAUUGAGUUUUUUGGUUUUUAGAUUGGGUGCUCGGGUUUUCUCUAUUUAUUUUAUUUUCGAUAUUGGUUUCUUCAAAAAGACUUGCUUUUGUGAUUUUAUUUUGUUUUCUUUUCUAUCAUAUUAUCUCAAUAUUAUAACUUGGAUUGUAUGUGUGGUGGGAUAACCUGGAUUGACUCAGCUCUGAUUACCCGAGUUACAUGUUUGUCAUGCUAACUCGGGUUGACACAAAUCAUAUUUUUAGAUUUUUUUUUAUCCAACUUCAUCCUUCCAUAUUUAAUGAACUGAGAAUUGAGCUACAUUAUUUGUUCCUGUUUAAAAAAAUAUUUUCUUCAUAGGUUAUCAUGAUCACUUUUUGAAAAAAAAAAAUGAUCAAUCUGCUAUCAUUGUUUUUUUUUUUAUUUAAUUAAAAUAAAACUAAAUUAUUUGAAUUAUUUAGGUUUAUGAUUGAAUAGCGGGUUUUUCUUCUUUGUUUAAAAUGCAUUAGUGGCAUCUAAACAUCAAUUUUUACAUAAAAAAAAUUAAUUUGGACAUGAACAUCGAAUUUCUUCUGCAUUAUAAAUCACAACAUUUCCAUGGCUUUCAAAGUUCAGGAAAAAAAAAAGAUUUUUGCUGGUGUGGAUAAUAAAUGCGAUCAAUACAGCCACACAUACAGAACUAGGCAGCAUCUUUAGUGCUAGAGACACCAUUAUUCAUGUUUAGUCAAAGGAAACUGUAACUGCAAAGCUUAUAAGAGAAAUGGAGAUUGUACAGUAAACCAUAGCGGGCAAUGGAAACAGAGACUGCAAUUAAAACAGGAGUGCAGGAAUUUAAAAAAUGAAAAAGAGGCAAAGAAAUCCCAAAUUCAAAUACAAAAAGAAUAGUAUCUUGAAAAUGAUUUUGAGGAAGAAAUACCUUCGACAGUUCCAAGAAAUCCACUGCAAUUAGUGUUGUGAGAAAUAAGGUUCAAUCUAGUCCCGGGAAGAACGGUUGGAUCAGAAUUGACAUCGUCAACAGCAGCAGCAAUAGCUGGCCCAGCUGCUCUCCCUAUCACUGAAUCGAAGGUAAACAAACUUCCUAUAUUUGCAACACUCGGUCGUGGAGAAGAAGAAGAAGAAACACUAGUUCCAUUUCCAUUUGCAGCUGCCUGACCAAAAACAACUUCCAUGGGCACACAAAUACCAGUAAUCAACAGCAGCAGCAGCAGCAACACUCUUUUCAUCAUCAAAAAUACUCUAGUAGCACAACCACCACCAGCAAUAUUCAAAGACACAUCCAUGGUAACUAACCAAGCUUGCAAUCAAAUUAAAAAUAAAUAAAUGAUUCUCCACGUCAAGCAACCAUUUUGUUUCUUCAAUGUAAUAAGUACCUGCCAAUGAUGAAACACAAGCAGAGACACAUGUUAAUGAACAUCGAAAGCCGAAUUAUGAAUAGCAACAAAAUAUAAUAAAGUAGAAAAACAAGCUGUGGAGCCCACAUGCAAGGGAGGAAAAACAAAGAAGGAAGGAUGUUGCGGUGUAGUGGAAUAUUUUGGUAUGGCUUUAAGCUUUGGCUUAGAUCAGAUUAGAUGUUAGCAUAUAUAAGUGAUUACCUUGAAGCCCAGAUACGGAAACUAGUUUGAACAGUUGAGUGCAUCAUAAUUAAGCUUUGAGGAUGUAAUGAAAAAACAAGGAUCAAGAGAGUGGACAAAAGCUCUAAACAGUCUUGCAAGCUCAAGUAAGGAAUGAUUCUCUCCUUUUAUGUCUGCUUGUUUUAUUAUUCUCUGGUGUGUUUAAGCUUUUUGCAAAGGACCAUGGCUAGCAUUUACUACAAUUUAAUAAUAAUAAUAAUAAUAAUAAUAAGAGUUAAAGUAACUCUAAUAUAAUAUCUUUGGGAUUCCACUCCAAACAUAUAUCAGUUAAAAUUAAUUAUUUUUUUAUAUUUUUAAAUCAUUAAUAUGUUAAUUUCAAAAAUAAUUUUAAAAAAUAAAAAAAAUAUUAUUUUAAUAUAAAAUAUUAUUUUAAUAUAUUUCUAUAUAAAAAAUACUUUAAAAAUAAUUAUUAUCACAUUCUCGAACACCUCUUAAUCUAAUUAUGAACCAAAUUUACUAUUCUAUAUUUCUUUGUGGAGUAGAAAUCCAUCAUGUGAUCCCUCAAGUUUUAAAAAUUAGCUAAAUCACCCUCUUUGUGUCAACUUAUUUUAGGAUUUCUUUUCUCUUUUUUGUUAUUAUAAAGGAGAGAUUCAAACUUAAAGCCUCUUAAAGGAGAGAAGACAGUGAUACUAAUUGAGUUACAACUCUCCUUUUUUAAAAGAAAAUAAAUUAAUAUGAGAUGUUAACCCUCGUGUUUUGAAUUUGUAGUCAAGCAUGUAUGUGGUCAACCCUGGCGACUACAAAGUACAAACUGAACUGUUGUGCCUAAAAUUAAAGUGUAAUGGUCGAUUUAAUCAAUUUCCAAAACUUGAGGUAUCAAGACAUGAAUUUACUUUUUAGAAGAAAAAAAAAUACAUCGAAUGACCCUUCUUGUCGUAGUUUUGAACCCGGCCCGGCCCGGCGGGUUAAUCCGGGGCUGGAACCGAUCCGGGUUGAAGAAAAAACGGGGGAAAGAAAAACCCGGUGUGACCUGGUAGGUUGACCCGGCGACCCAGUCAAGACCCGGUUGCAAACCCGUUGACUUUUGUUUUUUUUACUAAAACAACAUCGUUUUGAUUUAAAAAAAAAAACUGACCCGGCCGACCCGGUAAUCCAGUCAAAACCCGGAACCCGGAUCUUAGACCGGACCGGCCACUUGGCCAGGUCUUAAAACUAUACUUCUUAUUUUGAGAGUAAAUAAUCAUACUCGUAGAAGUUUGGAAGCAUUUCCAUUUAUUCCCAAAUAAUCAUGCCAUUCACGUAUCGUGUCUACUUGUAAUGUAUAUGUAAUAGUCAAUGUACCCAUGCCACGCUUUUGGUGGAAUUCCAAGUCAAUUUCAAAUGCAAAAGGAGAAUAUGCAUGUACUAUAUUAUAGAUGUGUUUUUUAAUCUCAUAAAAUUUGUUAAUUAAGGAAGGAAGGUUUAAUACAAUGAAUUGAAAAAAAUAUAUUAAUAGGUAAAUAAAAAAAUUAUGAAUGUUAAUUAAACAUUGAAUGUUAUUUUUUAAAAAUAAGAAGUAAAAUACAGAUACAAAUACAAACAUUUUACAUCGACAUCAUUUUUAUUUUAUUUAUUUAUUCUGAAGCUAUGAUUACUAAAUACAUAUGAAUUUUAAUUUUAUAAAUACAAAAUACAGAUAUAACUAAUCUAUCUUAAAUCUAAAAUAAAAAAUAAAAAAUAAAUUAUAAUAAUUUUUUUUUGAGGUAUUGCAAAAUUAUAGAAACCAACCAAAACUUUUAUUUCUAUUAAAAAUAGUCAAACUAAACAACUUUAAAAAUGAGAAAGAGGAAAUUAAUUAAGAAUUAAACUAGAAAAAAAAAAACCAAUGAAAAAAAAAGAGAGUCAAGGUUACUUGACCUAGAAGACUAAGCCCACCCAUUUAACCUAAAAGGCAAAAGCCUAUACGGCCCAGUUCUCUAUUCUUUUUUUUUUUUUUAAAAAGGGUAAUAUGUUGUCUUUUCAAAUAUUUUUUUAAAUUAAUCAAACGACAAGUCAUCUGUCUAGAUUGACAACAUAUCAUUCACCAUUAUCUUUUCUAAUCACCUUUAAUGAUCGAAAAAUUAGAGUUUGACUUUUUGUACUCACAAAAACAAUUUUCAACCUGUUUUUAUGAAAAACACCCCUAAAAUACUUGAAACUUCCAUAAACUCAUUCCAACCCUAGAACAUCAUCUAAUCACUAUAAAAAAUGAAAAUCUAAUAUAAGAAUAAAAAAGCUUUACGGACCCUAGUCAUCCUUUUCUAGCAUGUUCAAAGGGCAACACACCACCUUCAUUAAACUCUCCUAUCUAAAACGAACCAAUUAACACACUACACCAUUAAACAGUUUUACCGACAGAUUCAUUCCGUUGGUGUAAGACACACAACUCGUCGGUAAAAUAUUUACCGACGGAAUCCUUUUGUUGGAAUAUUGAUCGUCGGUAAUUCUCCUUUUUGUCGAUGAUUCUGUCGGAAAUAAAAUAAUAAAAAACAAACACCAACAGUCUUACAGACGGGGGAAGCGCGCCAAUUUUUUUUUCUCGCGAGAACUAUACCGACGGACGUGUUUGGUCUGUAUUUCCAACGGUAAAUCACCGACGGACUGGCCGUCAGUGAUUGUGGCAUGGACGGUAAAUAUUUCAAAACUCUCUGUACAAUAUCGACAAAUAUAUUUCGUCGGUAAUAUCAACAACAAACACCGACGAAAUAUAUCAACGGUACACCAAAAUCAGCCUUUUGUGUCCAAAAUAUGGCUUACCAUACCCUUUCUCUUUCCUUUACCUUUUUCCAAUAACUUUAUCUCCCCUUCCUACAACCAAUGACUGAAAUGUAAACGAAAAAAAAAUUAAAGUUUAAGAUUGAAAUAUAAGAACCUAAAACAACAAAGUUCAAAUAUGCAAAAAUUUUAAAAAAGUAAGGGACUAAAGUGAUUUUUUCCAUGUCUUUGGAUAGUAAAGAUGAAGAAAAGGCUCUGUUUUUGUUUAUUUUAUUUUUGGUAAUUAUUCUAACUUUUUUUAACAAUAACCUAAAAUUCCAUUUUGUAAAAUUUUUCUUUCAUGUAAUAUCAAAAUAUUCUUUAACAUCUCGCACACACGAAAGCAUGCGAAUAAAAAAAUGUCAAAAUAUAAAAUCAUGAUAACAUAACUUUUGAAGACGAGAUUAAAAAAAAACCUUUAAUGAUCAAAACAAAAUGAACUAAAAACUUGAGGGUCCUAGAUUGAAAAAUUGUCUAAUAAACAGGGAAAUGAGUGUUGAUAAGAACAAUGAUUUCCUAGACUUUUUUAGUUUAUUAAGUAAUAAUUACACAAAUAAGUAUUUUGUUUUUUGAGUUACAACAAAUAGGUUUGUUAAUACUUAAAAGUUAUUCAAAUAUCAAAGAUAAGAUUUGAUAAGAUCCAUUCAUAUAUCUGAACAAAUUAUGUCUCUUUAAAUCAAAAUUAAUUCCUUAUGCAAUUUUCCACAUAACAAAUACAAGUUAUACAACAUAUGAAACAAGAUGAACAUAACUUGAUUGGAUUAGCUUGAUAUGGAAGUAGCUUUUGUAUUCGUUCAAAUUAGAUCAGAUUGAAGAAUUUAUUCACUUGUUAAGUAAUCAUUAUCCAUUCUAUUUUUUUUUUCUAUUUAAAAAUGAAUAAAUAUGUUAUUUUUAAAAACCAUAUGAAAUCACAUAGUUAAAGUAUUGAAAUAAAUAAAUAUUUAUUCAUUAAGAUAAAAUACAAUAAUAAAAAAAUAUUAAGUGAUAACAUAUAAAAAUCUCCACUCCUCCCUUCACCUAACCUUGUAAAACAUGACUAAUUAACCAAUAGUUAUUUAAACCAUACAAAAACUAAAACCAGCUAUGUCAAAUGACAUUGGUAACCAAUAAGCCAAGUAAAAUCAAGUAUAAUUCAAUCCUUCUAUUUUAAUGAAACUAAUUAAUUAUCAUCAUGAGUUUAGAAACUAUAUAUUCAAUCUUGAAAUUUUAAAAUAUGUUUAUGCAUUAAUAAGAUGGACAAUCCAUAAUCUUGUUUUAUCUUUCUAAAGCUCAUGAUUACACCUCUAAACACUAUAAGAACUGAGGUAUUCAUUGUUAUCAAAGAAAAAUAAUUUGUAUAGUAUCCUCCUUAUAUGUGGGGUAAUACAUAUACAUAAAAUCUCAAUAAAUAUUGUUUAUUCAAUAAGAAUAUAAGACUUGACACAAAAGAUUACAAUGCCUUGAAGAAAUAGGUAAAUAUAUUAAUUUCUAAGGCUACAUCUAACAAUUUAUAUAUAAAAAAAUAGAUGGAGAACUAGUGUUCAUCAUUUAUCUUUACCUAAACUCCUUUCAUAAGCCUAUUACCUUUUAUACCUCAUGAUGGAGAACAAGUAUCAUUUCCAUAUGAGGAUGCUUUGGUAAUAAUCAUUGUCCUUUCCAAUUAUAAAGUAUAAAAUAUGCUCACGAUAAUGGAAACGUGGUGAAUAUUUUCUUAAGUAAUGUUGUAAAUGGAAAUUAACCCCUUCAAGUUAAUCCUUGUUAAAACGCCUCUAAUUGGAAUAAAAGGGAAAAAUUUUCUAAACAAAUGUUUUAUUGAUAAACUAGUAAACAUUGAAACUUAUUUCAAAAGUCUCUCUGCAACAAAUUUUUAUCGUGAUCAAAAUGGACUUGGCUUAUAACUUCAUCAAUGACUAGCCUCUUUUUCAUGGGAUUAGAAUGACAAUCAAUAUCAAAUAUCUAGUUAUGAAAUUUUAUAUUGAAAAAGGAGUUGUCACAGUAAAGAAAAAUCAAUUAAUCUUAAAAAAAUACUUCUCCAUUUGCCUCAAAUAAAGCUAUGUUUAUUGAACAAACAAGGUUUUUUAAAGAGAGGGCAAAGAUAUGGACUAAAGCCAUGAAAAGAUAACCAAUCGACCUCUAUGAAAUAUGUCUUCAUUUACUUUAAAGAUAAGAAAAUUAUGUUUAUAAAACAAAUAAGGCCUCCAAAAAAAGAGACCAAAGAUAUGAAUUGAAGCCAUAAAGGGAAAACUAAUUAGCCUUUAGGAAAUGCACCUUCACUUUUCUUAAAGGCAAGAAAACUAUAUUCAUUGAACAUAUAAGGCCUCUAAAAAAUAGACUAAUUAAAGAUAUUGACUAAGGCUGUAAAAGAUGAAAAAGAAGUAAGUCUCUUUGAACAUGAUACUAGUGUAAUUAUUAAGAUUAGAUUUGCAUUAGACAUCGAGUAGGAGAAAGCCAUCACGAAGCUUUUUAAAAUCCAAAGGGCUAAUUUCACUUUUAAUCCCUCAGAUAUUCUAAGUAUAGACUAGGAUGUGGCCUCCCAUAUAUCAAACAUCAAUUUAUCUCUCAUUUUUACUAGGAAAAAAAAAGAGUUUUAAGGUGAAAGAUAAAAGGUCAUAAUUGAGGAGGUAGAUAAGUUGCUAGAAGCAACUUUCAUUUGAUAAGUAAUGUACUCUGAUUAGCUUGCCAAUAUGAUUAUGGUGAAAUAAUAGUCUUGAAAGAUUAUCAUGUUCUUUUUCAGUCAUUGAUCUGUACCCAUUGCAUCUCCUCCUUUGAUGCUAUUAUAGUAUAAGAACAGUUGGCCUGAAAAACUAGUUUUGAUGUGGAUUUUUCGCUCUAUAUAACAGUAUGUUCAGUGCUGCAAAACGGUUAUUAUUUCAUCCGGGCAAGAGUACAAGUGAUAGGGUGUAAAGGAGGGGUGUUUUUUUUGUCUUAUGUAAAGGAGAAAGGAGGGAGUUUUAAACCUUGCACACACACACACAGAGAGAGAGAGAGAGCACAGUUGCCCAUUCAUUCUGUCUCACGGGAAGUUGGAGACAAUCUACAAUGCUUCCUAAAAUGACUUUGUUUCCUUUAUAUAUAUAUAUAUAUAUCAAAACGAGGUGUUUCAUUUAAAUGAAACAACAUCGUUUUGACGGUUAAGGUUUGAAUUAGGUUAAUUCUUCUUUUUCAAUUUCAAUCUUUCAAUUUAUUCAAUUAGGUCCUUAAUUGAAUUUUAGGAAUCAAUUCAAUUUUACCCCUAUAUAGUUUCAAAAACAUCCCCUGAUUUCAGUGUGUUUUUCAUCUUAGUCCUUGGUUUUGGAUUUAUAAAAAUUGAUCCUCAAUUGAUCAUUUAACCUUUGAUUUUCUUCAAUUUGGCCCAUGAUUUCAUCGAUUUUAGCCCCUGAAGUCUCGCGCCUCUAACAAGUCGGUCCCUGAUCUUGAAGUUCUUUGAUUUUGCUCUUAAUUGACCCUAAAACUUUAUUUUUCUUGCAAUGUUGUCCUUAUUUUCACCCAAUUGACUUUGUAAAAAUUAAAUUUUGUCCUCUAAAAUUUUAAUCUUCUCAAUUAAACCCAAAUUAGGCUUUCAAUCUUAAUUUUUCAUCAAUGAAGUCUCUAGUAAAAUUAAAUUGACCAAUUAAAAGUCUAAUUAAAUCUUUGCACUUAAUUAAAUGUUUUAAUUUGACCCAAAUUAAUUCUUAAACUUAAUUAAAUCUUUAAUUGGACCCAUAAUUAAAUCAAAUUGACCUAUCAAAAGUUUAUUAAGUCCUCAUACUUAAUUUUUAUGUAAAUUCACCUAAUGGUCAUUUAAUUUGGCCUUAAUUUGUAUUGUCUCUCAGUCUUGGAUUCAAUUGGUUUAAUUGGGCUCCAAAUUCUAUUCAAAAUCCUAAUUUAAUUCCUCCAUGUGCUUGAAAUCCUUCUUAGCCUACUCUUGCUAAUAUUUUUUUAUUUUCAUUUUUAUUGUUAUUUUUUGUUACUUCUUAUUUUAUUUUAUUUUAUUGUAUUUUGAAAAUAUUUAGAAACAGAGGGUCAAAAAUUGGGUUAUGACAGAACCAUAGUUUUCUUAUUUCUAUUUUGUGUAUCAGAUCUAGAACACCUUCUAAAACGUUUUGACACAAAUUAUUGAAACAAUGCUCAAUUACUCUUUGUGACAUACCUCGGUUUAAUCUCUUCCACUUUUCAAUGUCAUAUCAGAGCUGACUUUUCUAAUUACUUGUUUAUGGGUAUGGGUAUCGUACCAUAAAUCAUGCAACCUGUUAUAGAAAUUUGUUAAACAAAAAAAAGGCAAGGAAAUAAAAGAAUACAAGUUUACAAUAAUAUAACAUUAGUUGGUUUAAACAUACCUAGUUGCACAAUGGUUUUCCCACAGUCUCCUAACAAGUGUCUUGUUGCUUUUGUCCCACAAAAAAAAAUUUCUUAAUUGAUUUCAUACCUUAAUUAGUUUCCAAAAUUUUAAAAACUAGUAACUCAAAGUAGAUAUUAUUUAAUUAUCUAACCUUAAACUUUCUCCAUCAAACAUUUACCAUGUUCAUCCAUUCAGGAUGCUCAUAAAGCUCACUCUAUUAAAACAAUGGUUCUUUAAACAACCACUUCAUUGUAGAGGUAAUCGAACAUGCAACUUCAAUAUUAGUGAACUUGAAAACCAUUUCAUCAAUGUCAUUUUCAUGUAAUAUAAAACUUAAAAUAACUUAAUACAAUAAAUAACUUCAAUAUUGAGAUAAAAUAUUAAUUAUAUACAAUGGUCGCCUUUCCAUUAUGCAAUAAUUUUAUCUGAAAAAGGCCCUAUCAAAGAAGAGAUGCCUACUAUGUUGUCCUUAUUGGUUAAGCCUUGAUCAGUAACUUUUACAUUAAGUGGUGUGUCCUUAUAAUCAUCAUCUAUAUUAGCAACACAAUCACCGACACUAAUACUUGAUAAAGUAGUAGCGCUCUUAUUAGACUUAAACAUAUUUCUUCUUGAAUAUAUGGUACCAAAAAAGAAACAAUAACAUAAUGACAACACAUACUCAUGAAAUUUAAAUUCAAACUCAUAUAAGCCAAAUUUUAUUUUGCCAAAUUUUCUAAUAAACAUGCUAAGAAAAUUAACACACAGAGAGAGAACAUAAAACAAAAAAUAAAAUAUUCAAAUAUGACUCUAUAACCAUAUAAAAAUAGCAUCUCACUUCAUCAAAAAAUUAACCAAUUACUACAUUUCCUUUCAUAGAUAACACAUCUAAAUUAGUAAUAGCCUUCACAUUUUUAUUUGUGCUACUCCACAACAAGUACAUUUAAGGAAUCCAAAUCAAGCAAAAAAUGAUAACAUUAUCCCUACAUAUAAAAAAACCAUAAUUUCUCAUUUUCCCGUACUUUCUUAGCUACCAAACAAAUAGGUUACUUACAUAAACAAUAAAAAAGAAAUCAUAUUACUAAACGAACAAUCCCCCCCUAGUCACAUAAACUUAGCCAUAAAUUAUCUUCUCUUCACUUCACUAUUUAACCAACCAAGAAACCAUAAUUGAUACUUAAACAAACUCUCUUCACUUCACUAAUCUCUUUUUCUUAGUUAGCUAAAUACUUAAAUUAUAAAUUAUAAAUCAUUACCCCACUUUUCCACCAACCAACCACGAACCCAAAUCAUCAAUAAAAAUAAUCCUCCACUAAACCAAGUAAAAAAAUAAACAUUUAAAACAAUACCUAAAAUUCAAAAAACAAUCUUCCUAUAUUACCAACAUGCAAAAAUUAACAAAACCCAAAAAAACCUAAAUCACAUAAACCAAAUAGCAAAUAAAUUACCUUCAAAUCGGGUAAAAACCAUAGCCCAAACUUAGGAUUUAACUAUGCCAAGUCCUUAGUUUAUUAAAUAAAAAAGAAGAAAUUAAACUUGAGAUGGGUAGAAAAGAGGUAUUAUCAAUGUGGGAUGUGUGAGUGGGGUAGGGGUUACUGUUGUUGUUUUGAUGAUGAUGAAUAACAAGAAGAAGAGGAAGAAGAAGAAAAAGAAAUAGGAAGAUGAGAGGAACUCUUGAGUUUUAAUUCAUUUUAAAAACAUAAAUGAAAAUUCAUUUAGUAAUUUAAAAAUAUUAAAAUACCAAUGUAAUUGUCGAUAAAAUAUUUUUAUUUUUUAUUCUGUUUAUUUUUUCCCAUAAAAAAUUACUGAAGAAAAUCUUUCAUCGUAAUUUCCAUCAGUAAAUAAUUAUGAAACAUUUUUUGUCAUGUUUUUGUUAUUAGUGUAUGCCCACAUCUAUUUGUUUUUGUUACUAUUCUCCAAUUUUUUAGUGGUGUAUGCUCAUGUCUAUGAGCAAGUUGGUUUGUUUUUGCAAGUAUAAAUACUUCAUGAAAAUGUCCGGCAAGGGAGGACACAAAAAAAGAAAUAGAUAGACUCCUACAAGGAGAAAACAUUCUCAUGUGCGGAAAGGUCCAGAAUCCAUCAAGGUUUUCAGCAAGGAAGGAAGAUGAUAAAAACUCUUGCUUAAAAUGAUUCAUGCAUGCAUGUCAUAUAAAAAAGAGAAAAGAAGAGAAAAAUCUUUUGAGAGACUACGACCGUGUCUUCAUCACAAAAUUGGAAAUUGAUUAUCAUCUUUAUAAAUUUAAGAACUCGAGGUCAGUCGGAGCACGUUGCAGGUGAAGUGUUGAACAAUCAAACUGUGAAUUUAAAGGACGAAGGUAGAGUAUACGAAGGUGGAAGUUUCUGACUCAAAAUAAACUUUAUUUAUAUUACAAUCCAUACAAAAAUACCAAAAUCUAUUCAAAAGAUACUCCAAAAAAGAAAAAGAAAAAGAAAACAAAACUGUAGUUAAUUGAGGUGGUGGGGCUGGGACCAAGGUUGUUAAAAUCGCGAUUCAACUCGUAAAAUCGUACGUUUUUACGAGUCAAUAUAGGCUUUACGUGCUAAAUCGUUCACAAAACUCGGAAAUGGGUAAAAUCGGGUCAAAAUCGGGUAAAAUCGUUAAAAUAGGGUGAAAUCGCUUAAAAUCGCGAUUUCACUGCCGAUUCAACGAGUUUGCCCGCAGGAGAUAAAACAGCAAUGUUGAUGACUGGUGUCAACCGCCUAUUGGCUUUAACUGAGCAAAAGUGACAAAUUGACAAUUGCAAAUUCAUCGAGGAUGCACUAUGCAGUCUUCUCUUCACAUUUCUGAUUUCACCAUUCACGUUCAGAACAGAAAAAAUCCCUAAAUUGAAAUCCAUAAGCAUACCAUCAAGCCAUGAAGUUUGGAAAAGAAUUCAAGACCCACCUAGAAGAAACCCUUCCUGAGUGGAGGGACAAGUUUCUCUGCUACAAGCCCCUCAAGAAACUCCUCAAACAAUUACCUUCCACCGUUGAUUCUCCAUAAUUUCUUCACUCUCUGAUCAUGGAAGCAGACGACUUGUCAGUCCUUCACAAAUCACUCUUCGAAGACAAACUCUCUGCCACCGAUCUCUUCUUACAAAAACUCUGUUCUGAUACUUCCAUCAAGUCAGCCCUCCAACGAUUCUACUCGAUUCUAAAACGCGGCGUUUCACUGAUCGAUGAUGAUGCUAAUAAUAGUGAACGCAAGUUAGGGUUUCAAUUAUGGACCGAUUCGCAAAUUCAAUCUGUCGUUUCACUCGGUAUCGCCAUCGUUUCGUCUUCUAGAUCUCUGUCAGGUUGUCUUUUUUACUCGAUUUCCACUUUUAUUUAUUGAUAAUUCUUUUAAUUCAUUUUUCUGUAUGGUUGAAUUUUAAUUAGCAGUUCAGUAGUUAACUUGCUAAUAAUUUCGAUUUUAUUUUAUUUAUUGAUAAUUUUUUAAUUCGCUUUUUUUUUGUAUGGUUGAAUUUUAAUUAGCAGUUUAGUAGUUAACUUGUUCAGUUUUUUUUUUAAUUUUUUCUAAAUAUUAAUUUUCAACUCCAUCCACGCCCUCCUCCGCUCACUGGUGAUGUUCAUGGUAAUACGAAUAGGACUUUGGUGGAUUUGCAAGAAUGGUUUGUUAGAAUUCUUAGUGAAGAGCUUGACAAGUUCAAUGAUUUCUAUGUUGAUAAAGAAGAAGACUUUGUUAUACGCCUUCAGGUUUCUUUCUUGAUUUUUCUUUUCUUUCUUUGUUUUACAUGUUUAUAGCUUUGUGCAUAUGGGUUUUUAAUUUCGAGGCUUUUGUUUAUUAUAGCUCUGGGAAUUUAAGGUAUUGUGGUUUGAUGGUGGCUUUUAAGGUUUUUUCUAUAUGCAUGUCUUGUAAAUCCGAACUCAUAGGUCUGGUUUAAGGGUUUUGUAAGUUUUUGAAUAAUCAGGAGAGGAGUAGAAUGGAGAAGACAUCGUGACUUCAUUGGAACAGGAGAAUAGUGGGAUGUCAAGGAAAAAAGACGCAUAAAAGUGGCUUUCCUUUCCCUGGUAGUGCUGGGUGGUGUUGUCAGAUAGUAUGUGAAGAGGAGAUUGUCGAUGGGAUUGGAGGGGCUUGAUAAAGUUAAGAAUAACUUUUCCAGUUUGUGGAACUUGCUGAAGUAGAGCAGAGUAUUUUGUAGUAUAGUUAUAAGGCCAACCAUCGUCAAUUAUAGCUGACAAUAGGAUUGUUGGAAGUCAGUUGAGGGAAUUGAGGGUGCUGAAAUGAGGAUAUUGAAAUGAAAUGCCAGGUCAUCAAUAUAUGAGAAUUCUUGGGUUAUAACUUAUGAUGAAUGGAUUCUGUCUAUUAUUUGUAAUUUGGAUGAAUGGAUUCGACGAAUGAAUUCUGUCUAUUAUUUGUAAUUUGGAUGAAUGGAUUCUGUCUAUUAUUUUCUGAUUGGAUAAUAAUAUAGAAGAUGGGCUGUUAUGUAUUAUGUUUUUUUUUGACAAAAAUUUAAUUACAAUUAUAAAAUGUUUGGAUUGAUUACAAGGCUGAUUUGAAUUGAUUCUUGAAUUUUUAUUUGAAGCAUGAAUUUUUUUAAUGUAUUUUAAAAUUCCUUACGAUUUUACGAUUUUACGAUCCGUUUUUACGAUCCGAGUUUGUUUUGCAUUUUCCGUGCCGUGUUAAAAUCGCGAUUUUAACAACCUUGGCUGGGACCUCAGUACCUGGUCCUUUCUUUUAUAGCUGUGUGAUAUUUGUCAGUGAAGGUAAGGCCCCCAUGCAGAUGUCCCUUUUUCACUCUUUUUUCUUUUUCCCGACCCCAGAUAUAUGUGGACUGUUUCAUGUUUAUUUUAUUGGACACAUGUAAUAUUUAAUCAAUCUUUGGACAUGUUGUUGCCUCUCUUUUCAUCAUAACUUUUGGGUGUUAAUGAGGGUUGCUUGCAGCAGCAGAUUUAAAAUAAAAAUAAAUAAAUUUUCAUAAAAAAAAAACACGUUGAACCUCAUCCACGAAUAUUAGAUAUGCGUUUACAAUCUCCACGUCUCGUGAUGCUGUCAGACAAAAUCUCCCAUAUUAUAGUAGAUCCAACUCUGUUUUGUGUGGUGUGGCUUCAAAGAUUUUAGCUCAGCCCCACGUUUACAAAAGUUUAUUGUUGCAAUAAAAAAAGAACAUAAUUAGAUGGCAAAAUCUAAAUUAGACCAACCAUAUUAGCUCGAUGUGUGAAUGCAGAUUAGAGAUGCAUCCCAUUAUCUAUGAAAGCUCUUCAGAAUACUUUUAAAAAUGAUACAGAAAGGGAGAGCAUUCCCGCACCCAAUUACAGCACAGGAGCAAGCUCUUACUGGUUCCAACUUCCAAGCCUUAACCCCAAGGAUGGGUCGACGGUCAGCUUGACUUGCUAGCAAUUGAAUUUUAUGUUUUGAAAAAUUGAUUUGAUGCCUAAUAACCAACCAAUGGUAUGCCCCGCAGUGUUUGUCAGGCUAAGCAUAUAUUUCCACGAAAAAAAAUGACAAUCACUACGCUCGCAAUGAUCACCACUUAAAAAUGAUACAGAAAGGGAUAGCAUUCCCGCACCCAAGGGCAGAGGGCAUGUUAAAGGAUACAUGUAAAGAUUUUAUCAAUAUUUUUUAACUAGUUUUAUAUAAAAAUAAAUUUAUAAUUAAUAAUUGAGUUGUUAAAAAAUUUUAAAAAUUUACGUGGAGCCUUUUAAUAUGAUGCUUUACCUUUGGUUAAAAUUUCAGAAUUUUUGAAGAAAUUCAGAGAUUUAAUGAAAAAUCACAAUUUAACUAGUUUUACCUUAUUGGACGUAAUUUUCAAUACGACCAUCAGAUUGAGCUGAAGUUUUACGAGGGAUCUUAAAAUAUAUAGAAUAAAAUCUGGUUAAAAUUUUAGGAUGAACAGAGUUUUAUUUGCCAUUAAAAAAUAAAACAAAUCAACUCUUUCUUUUUUUCAUAUGUUGCCGACCGGUCAAAAGUAGAAUAAAAAAAAAACCAAAAGAAAAAGUGUGAGAGAAAGAGAGAAAAGUAAGGGAAAACUAAAUAUAAAAAAAAAUUCAAGGAAAAAAAAUAAGAAAAGUGAGAGAAUAACCUUGUAAACUUACAAAGUCCAACUUAUAAAACACUAAUCUAAGGAAGAAUCAAGUGAAGGAAGGAGGAAUUGAGAGAGGAAAAAAAUUUAAUUACUUUCUUUUCCAGUUGACAUGAGAUUGUUAUUUUAUCUCGGUUGAGGGGUUGUUAUAAUAUUGAUUCAGAUUCGAUUAUAGAUGAAUUAUAUUUUACAAAACAUCGAAGGAUGUAACUUCAAUAGUUGAUUUAUUUUUACUUUCACUUCAAUUUUAUGUACUUUCAAAUUUAUUUUUUAAUAUUUUAGGUAGUGUAUUUGAAUUAAAACUUUACUGUUAACUUUAAAAAUUCAUGUACAUGAGUUAAUAAUUAAUUUUAAAAAUAUAUAUAUAUUUAAUUAAUAGCUCAGGGCAAGAAAAAUUCCUGACUCGCCUUGCCCGCACCCAUUUACAGCACAGGAGCAAGCUCUUACUGGUUCCAAAUUCCAAGCCUUAACCCCAGGGAUGGGUCGACGGUCAGCUUGACUUGCUAGCAAUUGAAUACUAUGUUUUGAAAAAUUGAUCAGGUCGUCUGUAUCCUAAUAACCACCCAGUGGGAUGCCCCGCAGUGUUUAUCGGGCUAAGCAUAUCUUUCCACGAAAAAAAAAUCAAUGUGCAGUCAAUUUAUUAGUAUUGGGAUGAUAGGUGGGCAGUUUUUUUUAUGAACGAAGGCUGGUAGUUAGGUGGCUAGUGCAGAAUUCUGGUAUAUUAAUUUGUCCUGGCUCAGAGAUACUUUUCAUUGUUGAAGCCUGAAGAAGAUGUCCAAUCCUAAACAUGUUUUCCUACAAUAUCUUGGUCCUGUUGGCUACAUCACAGAAACAAGAGCACUGCAAGAGUAAAAUACUCAUCAAUGACAUCAACUUGCAAGCGACAGCCGCGACUGCCACAUCCAACUAUCCAUAAUACCAAAUUUUAUUCUAGGAUUUGUUGGAAUUAUAUAUUUUGGAGAUUUAUAGUUCACCUUUCCAGGUGUUUUUUUAGUAAUGGUCUAUUUACUUAAUUCAUUAGGAUUUAUGCUAAAUAUCCUUGAUUAUAAUAAAUAUAUAUGAAGAAUUAUGGACUACAUGUAUGUUUUGGUUAUUUAAAUGAUGCAAGCUUGAAACCUUUUCUUAUAGGAUUAGGUUUGUUUAUCUAGGAUUUGUUGAUUAGGAAAGAAUUAGCUUGACUAAGAUUGGGUGCUUUAUGUUAAACUUGGAUUAAUUUUUUUGUUUUAAAAGAAAAAAAUCAACAAAAUCAUUUAUUUUUAAGGAUUAACGUGCGUCAAAUUUAUCGACGAGUCUUCUAUUCAUAGGAACCAACAUUAUUUUUAAAAAUAAAUCAUGAAUAAGUUUAGAAAUAUAUCUAAGUAAUUAAUGGCAUGUAUAGAAUAAAUUUAUGAGAAAACACAUAGUAAAAUAACAUUUUUUUUCAUUUGAAAAGAUAUUGUAAAGGUGAUAUUUAUCUUUUCUUAAGCAUAAUUAACUAACUUAGUAGCUGAAUCUUUGAGACCGGUGUCAAUUUUAGAAUUUUUAGUUUUUUUUUUAAUUAUAUCAUAUAUAUUCAUAGUGAUGUGAUAACUAUGUUAAUGUACGAAACCGGGUUAGAUUUAAAAACAUUGUAGAAUAGAUCCCAUGAAAACAUAUAACAUUACUUUAUAUAAUAUUACAUGUGAUGGAAACAGGUACUAAAGCAGGCAUAAAAAAAAGUAAAAAUAACCAUCAUAAUAUUUCAUUACUAAUUAUUUGUCCAUUGCAUAGAGAAAUAACAUAAUAUUAAUGGGUAGAGAUAACAUAUAUAGUAGUGGAUAAUAUAUAUAUAUAUAUAUAUAUAUAUAUAUAUAUAUAUAUAUAUAUAUAUAUAUAAUUUGCAAUAUCAUAGAGGUGAUAUGCAAUAUCUAAACCCUUUCAUGCAUAUAUAAUUAAGGCAAGGCUAGCAACAUAAGACAGCUAAAUAUCCAUUAGAAUUUUAAUGGAGUCUUGAUGACCAGAGGUUUGAACCCAUGUUGGAUACUUGCUUGCCAAACUUUGUCAAUGUCAGCCAUGGUAGAACCGCAUUCAUGCUCGUCCCAUCCUUCCAAGGCAUGCACUAUUCCAGCCACACGCCAUGCGCUCAUCACUCUUCUUGGCAGCCAAUUCUGUCAUCAAGUAUUUUGCAAUACAAAUUAAUUAUCUUUCCUAAAUUAAGAAAAUAAUGCAAAUAGUACUUUAAUUUUCUGCAAUAUUUGACUAAUUAAUUACCUCGCAAGAGUCCACAUUUUCAAGAGAUGCAGGGGCUGCCAUUACUGGUAUGCUGUGAUAGAAGCAAUCCUUGCGCAAUUUCUUUGGGGGAAAUUGCGAGAAGGGAAUAAAUAAUGUUCCUUCUGCUGCUUGUUUUUGGUCCUCUUCUUUCAAUCCAUCCCCAACUAACCACGUCUACACAACAAAGUUUAUUAUGAUAUUAGAAAUGUCAAUAUAUAUAUAUGCUACUUAAAUAAUUUAAGUUGUAAUUUUAUUUUAUUUUUGACAAAAAAAAAUUGAUUUCUAAUUCCUUGGUAGCUAAUGAAAGCAUACCUUUAUUGAAUAACUCUUUGAAAGAAUUAGAUUGUUCUGAUCAGAUGUGAUGCCGAAAGAUUUUUUAAGUUUCUGGUAAUCAUCCUCACAUGGUACAACUACCUAAAAAAUCAGUGAAAAUAAUCGUAAUAAUUAGGAAUUAUAAAUUAAAACAUGACCAUAAAUUAAAUUUGCCUAUACAAUCAAUUUAAAUAAAUUACUGUCAAAUUGAAGCAAGUGACAACCUGUGCCUAUUUGCCUAGUAGACAACAACAAUACCUGGAUUCCCCUCUGGCAGAGAUUUAAAGCAACAGCAUAGGCAACCUUAGAGAGAUUGCCUCUAUGAAGCACUUGUGUUGUUCCUUUAGGUAUGCUAUUCAGCACUGCAGCAACGGCUAGACUGCUUCCAUCCACCACCUUCGUUUUGAGCCUGGGAUGCCUUUGCACAUAAAGUUCACCAUACCUAUUAAGCUCCUCUCCCUGCAUAAUUUAUGUUUGAACAUGAUGAAGAUAUAAUUAAUAAUUUAUGGUAUCCAUGAAAUAUGGGAAAUUGAAAAGAAAAAAAAAAACCCUAUAAACUCAACUACGUGGCAUCUAGUAAUGGCCGUUCUAAAGUAACCACCACUGUUUUUUUUUCCCUAGAAAUGCAUUAUAUUGAAGUGCUUGCCUGAUUCAAGAGACCGAGACUUAACACUUUAACACCUUUUUCCUCAGCUUCAAGUACAGCUUCUUCAAUCAAGGUAUUUAUGGAUACUUUUUGCCAUCGCAAGUUGUACUGCCAAAAAUUAGAUAAGCAAAUUAAGGAGAACAGAUUAAACUGAACGCCCUUGAUUAAUCAAUGACAAAGAAAUAUCCUUCUUAAUUACUUGAAUAUUGUAUUUUGGUAAGGUCCACGUCUGUAAUCUGAGUUUGUGGAAGCGAUUCCUCUCGACAACAAAAGUGCGUCCAUAAGUCCAAGUUAACAUCAUGGUCCACAAGGUCACCGGCCACAUUAACCAUAGAUACCACUUCGAUUCUUGAGGGUUGGAAGCCAAGCAGGCAAGUCCAAGCCGUAAAUGAUAGAUGGAAUCUGGUGUGGUAAGAUGAGUUAGAUGCACUACAUCAGGGGCUUCCUCGGGUCUCUUGAGCGAAUCUUCAUAGAGGGUAACAGAAGACGUGUCCAUUGUGCCAUAGAUGUAAUCAUAGAUGGGCAUGAAUAGUGAGUAAUUGGUUCUGAAUUGAGUGUGGUGAAGAGAGUGGUACCUGCAGCCAUAUCAAGUGUUUAUUAGUUCAUCAUGGAGGGAGUAACUAGUUCUAAACUGGCUUUGGUGAAGAGAGUUGGAACUUGCAGCUGCAUCAAAUGUUAAAUCAUGCAUUCGCGCUUAUCAGAUAUUGUUUUGAACACUGAUUAAUAGACAACGCAAUAAUGCACUGUCAGUGAAAAUAUAGUGGAAAAGGUGAAAUGUACGCGUCAAAGCUAUUAAAAUACAGUAUAAAAUCACAAAACGAUACUAUGGAAUUAUAAUUAACAGAGUAUUUUCCAUAGACGACUGUAUAUUCUUUUCAUCUUCUUUUUAUGCAAAAUUUGGUGAAUCAUUUUCCUGCUUUUUGUUCAUAAGUAUGGAAGAAAUCCCAUUAAUAAAACGAAGAGGAUACUGGUGAGAAUUAAUGAUUGAAAAUGCAAAAAAUCAACUGAGAUACAUCUAGACUUACGAUGGGGUGUACAUGAGGUACUUGAGAGGGGGGAAAAUGAUGAAGAGCCAUCUGGGAAUGAGUUCAAAGUUGCAGUGACCCAUGUUGUUCAUCAAGUCGAUGUAAGUGAUAUAACCAGCAAAGGAUGUUAAAGAGGCUGUCCCCGUCACAAUAGUCGUUAUCAAAGGUAUUGCGAAUAGCAUGGAGUAGGAUAUGUGCUCGGCGAAUGGAUGAAUCACAGCUGCGAUGCAGAUUUCCAGAAAGAAAAUGUCAAAUAAUUACACUUACUGUAUAUCAUCAUCAUGUAUUGCUAAUAGUAAUGGAGAAUGGUAUGCGUUCCCCUCAAUCACACAAGAUUUUUCUUCCGUUAUUAUAAAAAUACUCGAACUUAAAACCUUCUAUGAAAGGUCAAUUAAACUAAGUUUAUCAACGAUCACACAAGAUUAUUAAUAAUUCAAAUGCACACCAUAUAUAAAUGUGUGUCAUUCUUCUUAAGGAGUACUUAAGAGAUUAACUAUUCACUUUGAAAUUCUUAAAUAACUUUUAAACCACCAACACCAUAUAUACAUGGGGGCCGGGGGUGUUUGGAGGGAGACUUACAAGUAAUGGGCUCUGUGACAAUGGAGGAAUGGUGGUGGGAAUGAUAGCGAGAGUAGAGAUAGUGGUGAUGAAGAAGUCGAUGAAGCCAAUAAUACAGAAAUUCCACCGGACCCAUAUGAAUCAGAGCUGUUAGAAUUACACCAUCUAACCUCCACAUGGGGAGAUGGCUAGCUCCUGGAAUUAUUUUGCUACCAACGUAGAAUAAAAUUCCAUUGAACAAUAUUUGGUCAUCCCUGCGGAUAUCCAACCAGAAAAUCCAAGUAUCAAAAAACUCACAAGCACUAGCUAGAGUGGAAAUUAAUGCAUGAAAUUAUUGAAAAAGUAUAUAUAUAUAUAUAUAUAUAUAUAUAUAUAUAUAUAUAUAUAUAUAUAUAUAUAUAUAUUUGAUUAUACAAAUACCAGUUGCUUUCUCUAUCAACUUGAUCAAAUUCAAUGCCUUUGUCAAUAAUCCUGUUAUUUCCUUUGGCUGUUCUGUAACGGGACAGGCUGAUCCAUAACUGGUUGUGAAGCACUCUCCACAACAGAAUUGGGAAAAUGAGAAAGCUUGGGAGAUCUUUUUCAUCUUUAACCAUGAAGGCGUAGAUGUUGUGAAUGACACAAGGAGCCAAUAUUACAUGCUGCAAUAUUUAAACACACAAACAAAACACAGAUAUAUAUUAUUGUUUUAGGGUUAUGAUAUAUUAACGUUGUUUGCACGAAAACGAGUUACUCUACGUGUGAUAUCAGAUAACGAGAAGAAAAGGAGCGAGAGAGAGAGAUGGGAGGGAUUUCCAUAUGACCUUAAAGCUUCCAAGAGGUUUCCAUGGCCAGUCUGUGAGAAUUCCAGGCCGAGAAGCCAUCACUUCACUGCUACUACUUGUCUUUGUUUCCUCGCUUGUAGGGAAGUCGUGUAUAUAUAGACGAUGAGUAAUAUAUUUUCUUUAGCGUUAACGUUAUAAUUAUUGAUGAGUAAUGUUUUUUUAAUAACAGUACUGCCGCUCGAUCAAGUUAGAGCUGAGUAAAUUAUAAAUUAAUCCUUUUAAUUUUGGAAAAUAAAUUAAUUAGUCAUCUUCUUAAAAAAAAAAACAAAUUAUUCAGUUUUUUUUUAUCUAUUAUAUGUUAUUUUCUAAAUUAUGUUUUAAUAAAUAAAUAGAUAUUAUGGAAAGAUUGAUGAGAAAAGUAGAUAUUUUUGUAAAUAAAUUAAUAUGAAAGUAAGCAUGAUUAACAAUGAUAAGUGAUUAAAUAAUUAAAAUAGAUUGGUCAACCAUAUUUGUAAAACGAUACAUGUUUCAAUAUACUAAACUCUCUUGCAGGGUAUUUUUUGUCUUUUUACCAUGCUUUCUUUUUAUUAAUAUCAAGGUUACUCAUGAUGAUUAUUAUAUAUAAUCAUAUAUUAAAUAUUAUUAAAAAAAAUUUAGUUUGUGCGUCGAGCUAAUAAGCAGGCGUCAUGUCAUUUGGACAGUAUAUGUGAGGUCAUGCAGUUAUCAAACACCACCUACUGCAGUAGUAUUUGAAUCAUCUCAGCGUCCUCUCCUUAAAGAGGUGACACGUGUUUCAAACGACCCUUCAGUUUGGCAUCAAUAGUCUUUUCAUCCUUUUCUUUUUCUCUCUAUCUUGAUUUUCGCACUACCCCUUAAAAAUCUUAAAACAUCCCAUUCAAUUUGUAUUAUAUUAAGAUUUUGUUCUUUUUAUUUUUAUUACUAUUUGUUUUAUUUUGAAUAACUUAUAGAAUUAGAAUUCUUUUUCAAUUUCAUCCCCCUUCAAUUUUUUAACCUUUCAAAUUUGAUCAUCAUUCUUUUAAUUGUUGUUUAUUUUAUUUGAGAUAAUUUUUAAAAUUGAUUUUUUUUUCAUUUUAUCCUCCUUGAGUUUUUUCCUAUCAAAUUUGAUCCUCUUUCUUUUGAUUGAUAUUUUUUACUUUGAAAGAAAUUUUAAAUUGAUUUUUUUUUCAAUUUCAUCCUUGAACAUUAAAUUAAUUGGGAAUUGAGCUUUUCAGUUGAGCUCAGGUCUAGGAUUUCAUGGGCUGCAAGUUUUAGAGAUUAGCCAAGGUUUAGAAGGCUUGCUCAGAUUUACUUGAUUUUUUUUAUUCAUUUAGGCUUUUUUUUUAGUUUCAUCCAUUUAUUCAAUUUGAGAUUAAGCUCCAUUAUUUUUAUUUAUUUUAUUUUUUUAGAAUUUUACACUAAUUUUUAAAAUGUACCAGGUUAUUUUAGGUCUUUUUUUAUUUUUUGUUCUUUGUUGAAUUUCUUUUGCUAAUUUUUUAAAUUGAUAAUUUUUUUAUAAUUUCAUCUUUCAAUAUCUAGAAUAAUUUUUUUAUAAAAUUAGAAUUCUUUUUCAAUAUUGUCCUUUUUGAAUUUCUUAAUCUUUCAAAUUUGGUCCUCAUUCUUUUGAUUGUUAUUAUUUUUAUUUAAGAUAAUCUUUUAAAUUAAUUUUUCUUACAAUUUCAUCCUUAUUAGGCUUUUUCUAUCAAAUUUGAUCGCCAUUCUUUUGGUUGCUAUUUUUCUACUUUGACAAAUUUUUCAAAUUCAUAUUUGUUUUUCGAUGUCAUCCUUAAACAUUAAAUUAGUUAAAAAUGGAGCUUCUUGAUUGAGCCAUAGUAUGAGAUUUCAAUGUUGAAUGAUAUUGUGAAUUUCACUUUUGCUUCUUCCAAACAUCAUUUUGAGUUAAAAUUGACUAAAAAAUAUGAAGUUCGAGAGUUGAUAAUAACCGGAGAACUUGAGAAUGUUAUAAAGGCAAAUGAAGCUUCUAUUUUACAUCAACCUGAAACAACUAGUUAGGGUUCUCAUUUUAGUUCAAUAAGGAGUUUAAUUGAGUUAUUUGAAACAAUAAGAACAUUGCUAUUAAAGAUUGAUGAAAAUGGACCAAACUUUCAAUUUCAUACUAAGGCUUUCAAAUAUUAUUUUGCCAUGACAACUUUUGACUUUGUCAUUGUCUUACUUUUUACUAACAAAGUUAUGAGAGUUUAUUGAUUUUCUUUAACAAACGCUUCAAAGAAAAGAUUAGGAUAUUGUAUAUGCUUUAAAUUUUAUUUCACAUUCAAAUUUUCAACUUCAAUGUUUGAGGGAUAGCGAUUGGGAUGAUCUAUUUAAAAGUUUGGUAUUUUUUUAUGAACAACAUGAUAUUGAGAUUUUUGAUAUAAAUUCUCCUUAUUUGUUUGAUACAAGUCAUUCUUAUUAAUAAAGAGAUUCUAAUAUAGUUAAGUAUCAUUAUCAAUAUGAUAUAUUUAACACUGUGUAAUAUAUUUUUAACUGAUGGAGUUAAAUCAUAUAUUUUCAUAAAACACAGUGGAGUUGCUUUAUCUUGGAUCAAUAUUGGAUCAUUUUCAUGCCUUCACAUCAUUUAAAAUUGACGAUACAUGUAAGCUUGCUGAGAAAUUCUAUGCUGAAGAUUUUGCUCUUUUAAAUUUACAUGGUUCAAGAAUACAGUUGGAAUAUUAUAAGUUGUCAAUGGAUCAUCCAAACUUUGAGAAUAUUGAUUAUCUUACUACAUUGUAUCAUCAUUUAGUUGACACAGGCUUGAUAAAUGAUUUCGACUUGGUUAAUAGAAUGAUUCGAAUGGUACUAGCUCUUCUUGUUUCUUCAUCAAUGACUAAACAAACCUUUUCAUCUAUGAAGUUCAUUAAAAAUCAGCUUUGAAGUAAAUUGGCCUCUUUAGGCCGACACCAGCGCCGUCUCGUUGCCAUUAAGCCUGAGCUGUUCACAGUUGUAGAGAAAUUAAUUCCAUUUGCGUGAGUAGUAUUAAUCAAGAUAAUAAAUUUCAAACACCAUCAUCUUCUGGCGACCCUCGUCUGGUACAGCGGCUUAAGGAAAAUAGGAAGCCAAUGAGCUCAAGCAAAUGGACAUGUCCUUCAAACACGAGAGCACCUGCUAUUGCCCGGUCAUUUUACAUGGUCCCACCUAUGCUGGCGAUUAUUCAAUUCUUUUUUUUUAGUUUAACGUAGGUGUCCGGAUUAGCUUGCAUGUAUUUCGACUAAUCCCACGGGUCCUGAAGUUAACGACCAUGUAAGCCUCCAGUGGCCAUCAUAUGAACAACCACAGGGCUCGAACCUGAAACUACAGAGAAAGCAAACCUCUUGGUCCCAAACUUUUACCACUGGACCACCACCUAAAUGGUUGCGAUUAUUCAAUUCUUAUUGUGAGUUUCGUGAACCUUAUAGAAUUGUUUACUCUCCUGUUGGCUUGAAAUGAUUUUUCUGAUGAGUAUCUCAUAUGCAUUAAAUAAGUGGAUUUCGUUAAUCAUUCAUAUAAAACUAAUAGUUGGUUUUUUGGUAAGUAAAUUCUGUAAAAUACUUAUAUAAAAAUAGCAUUAUUUAUUAUAGAAAUGUGAUGUAAAUGUCAUUGGUUCUAUUAUGUUAAUGGGUUCCUGAAAAACUCUAACAAGUUUUUUUUUUCUUUUUAAUUACAAUGAACUAGAAAUCUUAAGUUGCAUGUAUAUAAAAUUAGUUUAAAAAGUGAUAAGAAUAUUUUUAUAUAAAUUUUUUUAUUUGUAUUAUUUUAAUUUUUUUUAAGUGAAGUUUAAAAAGUAAUUAAUAGAUAUAGUUGGUUAUUCAUUGAGUACUAUAAUUGUUUUUUGAACGCUUGAAUUUAUAUUGAUAUAGAAAAGAAUGAAGUUUCAAAAAUUGUGUAGUAUUUAUUUAAUCUUAAAUUUUAAAAAAAUGGAUAGAGAGAUGACAUUAAAAGUUUUUAGGUAAUUAGAUUAUGAAAACUUUUUUGUUUUUUUGAACGCAUCAAGAGCACUGAAAAACUAAUAAUAUUGUAACAUUAAAGUAUAUGUCUCGGUAUUGUAAAAACCGGAAGUAAUUAUAGCAAUUAAUAAAGGUACUACAUUAAAAAAAAAAAUAAGAGGAUGUUUUUCAGGGACAUGCGAGCAGGCUGUCUUUUCUCACUUUAAUAUUUCAUCAGAAAUAACAUCUCAAUAUAUGCCAAUAAAUGUGAGGGUGCGUGCGUUUUCUGGUUAUUCAACCUGGAUCAGCCUGAUAGGUGAUCCGAGACUUGAUUAAUCUAGUAGUUGAACCAAUUUAGAUAAGUUAAAAGAUUAGGGUAAGUAAAAACCCGGCAAAACCCGGAUGACCCCUCAGGUUAACUUGUAAGCCGGGCAACCCGGCAAAACCCAGUUUUUUUUUUUUCAAAUGUGUUUUUUUUUCUAGCCAAAGACCCCUCUUUUUUAUAUAUAUAUUUGGUUAAUUAUUAACCCUUUUCAAAGUUCACUAUAUAAAUACUAGAAGAAUGUUUUAUUUUUUCAAUAUGAGAUUUGAAACCUUUUAAUAUAUAUAUAUUCUAUGUUUACAAGAAAAAAAUUAUUUUUUCAAUAUGGGAUUUGAAGCUUUUUAGUAUAUAUAUUCUAUGUUCACAAGAAAAAAAGUUAUGUUUUUUCAAUGUGGGAUAAAAAACCUUUUUGGUUUAAAUACUUCAACUUAAAAGGAUAACAUACUAACAUAGUUUCUUUUGAAUGUGAGAUAAAAAAAUCUUUUGAAAUAAUUUUUUAAUCUUUAUUAUUGAUAAUAUGUAUAGUUGUCACUGGGUAAAUUUUUCGCUCCACAAAUAAACCCGUGUGGCAGCCUAGUCCCCACUAGACUCAGCCUUUCCUCACAAAUCUCACUCGUGUUUGCCUAGUAACUAAGUAUUUCCCUCACUCAAGAGGUUUUCCCCACUUUCACUAGUUAAAAGACAAGCAGAAUACACAAGUAAAAUAAGUUAAUUAAAGUACACAACAAACUUUACAUGAACUAUUUCUCAACCUUUAUUAAUCUCGUAAACAAAGGAAACACUAUACACAAAUCCCAUGUGUGCUAUGCACAAAGAUUGCAUGCUACACCAAGCUUACAUGCUCUAUUUCAUGCUCCUACAUGCUCUCCCAACCAAGAGUUGCAACAACUAUUUAUAGACAAGCAUUUACAAGGGAUAAUUUUAGCUGACUUUGGACCCGAUUUUCUCCUCUCUCAGACCCUCAAAAUCACCUUUAUUUAUAGAUGAUGGAAGAGGAAAAUCUUGUCUACACUUGGGGAAAAUUUCAGCCCAUAAUUCACUUGGAAAAAAUCCUAACUGUUGGUUCAAAAUAAGAAUUCUGAGUUGUCAAAUCUGCAGAAAAAACAAACUGAAUUGCCCUCUUUAGACCGGCACCAGCUCCGUCUCGUUGCCAUUAAGCCUGAGCUGUUCACAUGAGGUUGUCGAGAAAUUCCAUUUGUGUGAGUAGUAUUAAUCAAGAUAAUAAAUUUCAAACACCAUCAUCUUCUGGCGACCCUCGUCUGGUACAGCGGCUUAAGGAAAAUAGGAAGCCAAUGAGCUCAAGCAAAUGGACAUGUCCUUCAAACACGAGAGCACCUGCUAUUGCCCGGUCAUUUUACAUGGUCCCACCUAUGCUGGCGAUUAUUCAAUUCUUACUUGUAAGUUUCGUGAACCUUGUAGAAUUGCUUACUCUCCUGUUGGCUUGAAAUGAUUAAUUUUCUGGAUGAGUAUCUCAUAUGCAUUAAAUAAGUGGAUUUCGUUAAUCAUUCUCAUAAAUCUAAUAGUUGGUUUUUUGGUAAGUAAAUUCUGUAAAAUACUUUUAUAAAAAUAGCAUUAUUUAUUAUAGAAAUGUGAUGUAAAUGUCAUUGGUUCAAUUAUGUUAAUGGGUUCGUGAAAAACUCUAACAAGUUUUUUUUUUUUUUUAAUUACGAAGAACUAGAAAGUGAGAAGAUUGGACUUAAGUUGCAUGUAUAUAAAAUUAUUAUAAAAAGUGACAUGAAUAUUUUUAUACAGGAUUUUUAUUUUUAUUUUUAUUUUUUUAUAAUGAAUUUUAAAAAAUAAUUAAUAGGAUAUCACUGGUUAUUUAUUAAACAUAAAAAAAUUUAUUUUUGAAAUCUUAAAUUUAUAUUAAUGUGGAAAAAAAUAAAGUUUAAAAAAUUAUGCUAUGUUUAUUUAAUCUUAAAUUAAAAAAAUAAAAUUAAAAAAAUUAGUGUUCACGUUAACAUGAACAGUGUGAGUGAAUAUUAAUUAAUUCAUUGUCUAUUUUUUAAAAAAAAAUAAAAUUUAAAAAAUUAUGCCAUGUUUAUUUAAUUUUAAAUUAAAAAAAGAAGAUAAAGAGUUCACAUUAAGAGUUUUUAAGUAAUUAGAUUAUGAAAACUUUUUUUGUUUUUUUGAACACAUCAAGAGCACUGAAAAACUAGUAAUAUUGUAACAUUAAAGCAUACGUUUCAGUAUUUAGUAUUGUAAAACUGGAAGUAAUUAUUAACAAUUAAUAAUUAACGGCACUACAUAUGCGAGCAGGCUGUCGUUUCUCAUUUUAAUUAUUUCAUCAGAAAUAACAUGUGCCAAUAAAUGUGAGGGUGCUUUUUCUGCUAGCUGCGGCAAGGUUUGUUGCCGACAGUGAUUUUGUUUUCUUUUUUUGUUUUUUUCCUCAUCUUACACUGUUAUUCAAAAUUUUUAGAAUUGUCGUUGCCCGCAUUUUAACUUUGGAUUUUAUUUUUGUUUUUAUCUCUUUUAUAAAAUCUUAAUUUAUUUUAAAUUUUAUUAUUUAAUUUUAAUUUGUGAUAUAUUAUUUUUUUCAAUUUAAUCUUUAUUUUUUUAAUUAUUUUUUUUUCAAGUCCUUUUGUUAAAUUGAUUUUUCUUUUUGGUUUCAUACUUCAAUCAAAAAUUUAUUUUAAUUUUUAUUUUAAUUUUGAUCCUAAUUAUUUUGAUUGUUUUUUUAUCCUUUUGUUAAAUUAAUUUUUCUUUUUAAUUUUAUCCUUCAAUCAAAAAUAAAAUUUAUUCUUUAUUUCAAUUUUGAUCAUCAUUCUUUUAAUUGUAACCUUUUGUUUUGGAUCCUUAUAUAUAAUUGAAAUUUCUUUUCUAAUUACAUCUUUUAAAAUUUGAUUUAUUGAGAAUUGAGUUUUGUGGUUUUUAGAUUGGGUGCUCGGAUUUUCUCUACUUAUUUUAUUUUCGACAUUGGUUUCUUCAAAAAGACUUUAAAAAUAAAUCAGUUAAAAUUAAUUAUAUUUUUAUAUAUUUUUAAAUCAUUAAUAUGUUAAUGUCAAAAAUAAUUUUAAAAAAUAAAAAGUAUAUUAUUUUAAUAUAUUUCUGUGCAAAAAAUACUUUGAAAAUAACCACCAUCACGCUUUCAAACACUUAUAUAAUGAACCAAGCUUACUAUUUUAUAUUUCUUUGUGGAGUAGAAAUCCAUCAAGUGAUCCCUCAAGUUUUAAAAAUUAGCUAAAUCACCCUCUUUAUUUCAAUUUAUUUUAGGAUUUCUUUUCUCUUUUUUGUUAUUAUAAAGGAGAGAUUCAAACUUAAAGCCUCUUAAAGGAGAGAAGACAGUGAUACUAAUUGAGUUACAACUCUCCUUUUUUAUAAGAAAAUAAAUUAAUAUGAGAUGUUAACCCUCGUGUUUUGAAUUUGUAGUCAAGCAUGUAUGGUCAACCCUGGCGACUACAAACUGAACUGUUGUGCCUAAAAUUAAAGUGUAAUGGUCGAUUUAAUCAAUUUCCAAAACUUGAGGUAUCAAGACAUGAAUUUACUUUUUAGAAGAAAAAAGAAUACAUCGAAUGACCCUUCUUGUCGUAGUUUUGAAACUCGGCCCGGCCCGGCGGGUUGACCUGGGGCUGGAACCGAUCCGGGUUAAAGAAAAAAUGGGGGAAGGAAAAACUCGGUGUGACCCGGCGGAUUGACCCGGCGACCCAGUCAAGACCCGGUUGCAAACCCGUUGACUUUUGCUUUUUUUACUAAAACGACAUCGUUUUGAUUUAAAAAAAACUGACCCAGCCAACCCGGUGAUCUGGUCAAAAUUCAGAACCCGAGCCUUAGACCGGACCGGCCACCUGACCGGGUCUUAAAACUACGCUUCUUGUUUUGAGAGUGAAUAAUCAUACUCGUAGAAGUUUGGAAGCAUUUCCAUUUAUUCCCAAAUAAUCAUGCCAUUCACAUAUACUUAUCGUGUCUACUUGUAAUGUAUAUGUAAUAGUGAAUGUACCCAUGCCACGCUUUUGGUGGAAUUCCAAGUUAAUUUCAAAUGCAAAAGGAGAAUAUGCAUGUACUAUAUUAUAGAUGUGUUUUUUAAUCUCAUAAAAUUUGUUAAUUAAGGAAGGAAGGUUUAAUACAAUGAAUUGAAAAAAAUAUAUUAAUAGGUAAAUAAAAAAAUUAUGAAUGUUAAUUAAACAUUUAAUGUUAUUUUUUAAAAAUAAGAAGUAAAAUACAAAUACAAAUACAAACAUUUUACAUCGAUAUUAUUUUUAUUUUAUUUAUUUAUUCUGAAGCUAUGAUUACUAAAUACAUAUGAAUUUUAAUUUUAUAAAUACAAAAUACAGAUAUAACUAAUCUAUCUUAAAUCUAAAAUCAAAAAUCAAAAAUAAAUUAUAAUAAUUUUUUUUUGAGGUAUUGCAAAAUUAUAGAAACCAACCAAAACUUUUAUUUCUAUUAAAAAUAGUCAAACUAAACAACUUUAAAAAUGAGAAAGAGGAAAUUAAUUAAGAAUUAAACUAGAAAAAAAAACCAAUGAAAAAAAAAAAAGUCAAGGUUACUGGACCUAGAAGACUAAGUCCACUCACUUAACCUAAAAAGAAAAGGCCUAUACGGCCCGGUUCUCUAUUUUUUUUUUUAAAGAUAGGUAACAUGUUUUCUUUUCAAAUAUUUUUUUAAUUAAUCAAACGACAUGUCAUCUAUCUAGAUCGACAACAUAUCAUUCAUCAUUAUCUUAUCUAAUCACCUUCAAUGAUUGAAAAAUUAGAGUUUGACUUUUUGUAUUCACAAAAACAAUUUUCAACUUGUUUUAUAAAAAACACCCCUAAAAUAUUUAAAACUUCCAUAAACUCAUUCCAACCUCAGAACAUCAUCUAAUCACUAUAAAAAAUGAAAAUCUAAUAUAAGAAUAAAAAUGCUUUACGGACCUAGUCAUCCUUUUCUAGCAUGUUUAAAGGGCAACAUACCACCUUCAUUCUAUUUAAAAUAAACCAAUUAACACCAAAAUCAGUCUUUUGUGUUCAUAAUAUGGCUUACCAUACCAUUUCUCUUUCCUUUACCUUUUUCCAACAACUUUAUCUCCCCUUCCUCUGCAUCCAAUGUCUGAAAUGUAAAAGAAAACAAAUUAAAGUUUAAGAUUGAAAUAUAAGAACCUAAAACAACAAAAUUCAAAUAUGCAAAAAUUUAAAAAAAAAAUAAGACAUUAAAGUGAAUUUUCUCGUGUCUUUGGAUAGUAAACACGAAGAAAAGGCUUUAUUUUUUAUUUAUUUUAUUUUUGGUAAUUAUUCUAACUUUUUUGAACAAUAACCUAAAAUUCCAUUUUAUAAAAUUGUUCUUUCAUGUAAUAUCAAAAUAUUCUUUAACAUCUCGCACACACGAAAGUAUGUGAAUAAAAAAAAUGUCAAAAUAUAAAAUCAUGAUAACAUAACUUUUGAGGACGAGAUUAAAAAAAAACUCUUAAUGAUCAAAACAAAAUGAACUAAAAACUUGAGGGUCCUAGAAUGAAAAAUUGUCUAAUAAACUGGGAAAUGAGUGUUGAUAAGAACAAUGAUUUCCUAGAAUUUUUUAGUUUAUUAAGUAAUAAUUACACAAAUAAAUAUUUUUUUUUUGGGUUACAACAAAUAGGUGUUUUAAUACUUAAAAGUUAUUCAAAUAUCAAAUGUAAGAUUUGAUAAGAUCCAUUCCUAUAUUUGAACAAAUUAUAUCUCUUUAAAUCAAAAUUAAUUCCUUAUGUAAUUUCCCACAUAACAAAUACAAGUUAUACAACAUAUGAAACAAGAUGAAUAUAACUUGCUUGGAUUAGCUUGAUAUGGAAGUAGGGAUGAUAAUGGAUGGAAUUAUAGUAAUUUACUUCCUAUGUUGUGUAUCUUUUCUAUUCGUUCAAAUUAGAUCAGAUUGAAGAAUUUAUUCACUUAUUAAGUAAUCAUUAUCCAUUCUAAUUUGUUUUUCUAUUUAAAAAUGAAUAAUUAUGUUAUUUUUAAAAACCAUAUGAAAUCACAUAGUUAAAGCAUUGAAAUAAAUAAAUAUUUAUUCAUAAAUCACAUUAAGAUAAAAUACAAUAAUAAAAAAAUGUUAAGUGAUAACAUAUGAAAAUCUCCAUUCCUCCCUUCAAGGUAAAAUCAAGUAUAAUUCAAUCCUUUUAUUUUAAUGAAACUAAUUAAUUAUCAUCAUGAGUUUAGAAACUAUAUAUUCAAUCUUAAAAUUUUAAAAUAUGUUUAUGCAUUAAUAAGAUGGACAAUCCAUAAUCCUUUUUUUAUCUUUCUAAAGCUCAUGAUUACACCUCUAAACACUAUAAGAACUGAGGUAUUCACUGUUAUCAAACAAAAAUAAUUUGUCACAGUAAAGAAAAAUCAAUUAAUCUUAAAAAAAUACUUCCCCAUUUGCCUCAAAUAAAGAUAUGUUUAUUGAACAAACAAGGUUUUUUAAAGAGAGGGCAAAGAUAUAGACUAAAGCCAUGAAAAGAAAACCAAUCGACCUCUAUGAAAUAUGUUUUCAUUUACUUUAAAGAUAAGAAAACUAUGUUUAUAAAACAAAUAAGGCCUCCAAAAGAGAGACCAAAUAUAUGGAUUGAAGCCGUAAAGGGAAAACUAAUUAGCCUUUAGGAAAUGCGCCUCCACUUUUCUUAAAGGUAAGAAAACUAUAUUCAUGGAACAUAUAAGGCCUCUAAAAAAUAGACUAAAGAUAUUGACUAAGGUUGUAAAAGAUGAAAAAGAAAUAAGUCUCUUUGAACAUGAUACUAGUGUAAUCAUUAAGAUUAGAUUUGCAUUAGACAUCGGGUAGGAGAAAGCCAUCACGAAGCUUUUUAAAAUUCAAAGGGCUAAUUUUACUUUUAAUCCCUCUGAUAUUCUAAGUAUAGGCUAGGAUGUGGUCUCCCAUAGAUCAAACGUCAAUUUAUCUCUCAUUGUUACUAGACAAAAAAAGAGUUUUAAAGGGAAAGAUAAAAGGUCAUAAUCGAGGAGGUAGAUAAGUUGCUAGAAGCAUGUUUCAUUUGAUAAGUAAUGUACUCUAAUUAGCUUGCCAAUAUGGUUAUGGUGAAAUAAUAGUCUUGAAAGAUUAUCAUGUCCUUUUUCAGUCGUUGAUCUGCACCCAUUGCAUCUCCUCGUUUGAUGCUAUUAUAGUAUAAGAACAGUUGGCUUGGAAAACUAGUUUUGAUGUGGAUUUUUUGCUCUAUAUAGCAGUAUGUUCAGUGCUGCAAAAUGGUUAUUAUUUCAUUCAGGCAAGAGUACAAAGGACAAGGUGUAAAGGGGGGGUUUGUCUUGUGUAAAGGAGAAAAGAGCGAGUUUUAAACCUUGCACACACACACAGAAAGAGAGAGAGAGAGAGAGAGAGAGAGAGAGAGCAGUUGCCCAUUCAUUCUGUCUCACGGGAAGUUGAAGACAAUCUAUAGUGCUUCCUAAAAUAUAUAUAUAUAUAUAUAUAUAUAUAUAUCAAAACGAGUCGUUUCAUUUAAAUGAAACAGUAUCGUUUUGACGCUUAAUGUUUGAAUUAGGUUAAUUCUUCUUUUUCAAUUUCAAUCUUCCAAUUUAUUCAAUUAGGUCUUUAAUUGAAUUUUAGGAAUCAAUUCAAUUUUACCCCUGUACAGUUUCAAAAACAUCCCCUGAUUUCAGUAUGUUUUUCAUCUUGGUCCUUGGUUUUGGAUUUAUAAAAAUUGAUCCUCAAUUGAUCAUUUAACAUUUGAUUUUCUUCAAUUUGGCCCAUGAUUUUAUCGAUUUCAGCCCCUGAAGUCUCGCGCCUCUAACAAGUCGAUCCCUGAUCUUGAAAUUCUUUGAUUUUGCUCUUAAUUGACUCCAAAACUUUAUUUUUCUUGAAAUGUUGUCCUUAUUUUCACCCAAAUGACUUUGUAGAAAUUAAAUUUUGUCCUUUAAAAUUCUAAUCUUCUCAAUUAAGUCCAAAUUAGGCUUUCAAUCUUAAUUUUUCAUCAAUGAAGUCUCUAGUAAAAUUAAAUUGACCCAUUAAAAAUCUAAUUAAAUCCUUGCACUUAAUUAAAUCUUUUAAUUUGACCCAAAUUAAUUCUUAAACUUAAUUAAACCUUUAAUUGGAGCCAUGAUUAAAUCAAAUUGACCUAUCAAAAGUCUAUUAAGUCCUCAUACUUAAUUUUUAUGUAAAUUCACCUAAUAGUCAUUUAAUUUGGCCUUAAUUUGUAUUGUCUCUCAGUCUUGGAUUCAAUUGGUUUAAUUGGGCUCCAAAUUAUGUUCAAAAUCCCAAUUUAAUUCCUCCAAGUGCUUGAAAUCCUUCUUAGCCUACUCUUACUAAUAUUUUUUAUUUUCAUUUUCAUUGUUAUUUUUUAUUACUUCUUAUUUUAUUUUAUUUUUUUGUAUUUUGAAAAUAUUUAGAAACAGGGAGUCAAAAAUUGGGUUAUAAAAAAACCAUAGUUUCCUUAUUUCUAUUUUGUGUAUCAGAUCUAGAACACCUUCUAAAACGUUUUGACACAAAUUAUUGAAAGAAUGCCCAAUUACUCUUUGUGAAAUACCUCGGUUUAAUCUUUUCCACUUUUCAAUGUCAUGUUAGAGCUAACUUUUCUAAUUACUUGUUUAUGGGUAUCGUACCACAAAUCAUGCAACCUGUUAUAGAAAUUUGUUAAACAAAAAAGAGGCAAGGAAAUAAAAGAAUACAAGUUUAUAAUAAUAUAACAUCAAUUAGUUUAAACAUACCUAGUUGCACAAUGGUUUUCCCACAGUCUUUUAACAAGUGCCUUGUUGCUAUUGUCCCACCAAAAAAAUUUCUUAAUUGAUUUCAUACAUUAAUUAGUUUUCAAAUUUUAAAAAACUAGUAACUCAAAAUAGAUAUUAUUUAAUUAUCUAACCUUAAACUUUCUCCAUCAAACAUUUACCAUGUUCAUCCAUUCAGGAUGCUUAUAAAGCUCACUCUAUUAAACAAUGGUUCUUUAAACAACCACUUCAUUGUAGAGGUUAUCGAACAUGCAACUUCAAUAUUGGUGAACUUGAAAACCAUUUCAUCAAUGUUAUUUUCAUGUAAUAUAAAACUUAAAAUAACUUAAUAGAAUAAAUAACUUCAAUAUUGAGAUAAAUAUUAAUUAUAUACAAUGGUCGCCUUUCCAUUAUGCAAUAAUUUUGUCUGAAAAAGGCCCUAACAAAGUAGGGAUGCCUACUAUGUUAUCCUUAUUGGUUGAGCCUUGAUCGGUAACUUCUACAUUAAGUGGUGUGUCCUUAUAAUCAUCAUCUAUAUUAGCAACACAAUCACCGACACUAAUACUUGAUAAAGUAGUAGCGCUCUUAUUAGACUUAGACAUAUUUCUUCUUGAAUAUAUGGUACCUAAAAAGAAACAAUAACAUAAUGACAACACAUACUCAUGGAAUUUAAAUUCAAACUCAUACAAGCCAAAUUUUAUUUUGUCAAAUUUUCUAAUAAACAUGCUAAGAAAAUUAACACACAAAGAGAGAACAUAAAACAAAAACUAAAAUAUUCAAAUAUGACUCUAUAACCAUAUCAAAAUAGCAUCUCACUUCAUCAAAAAACCAAUUAUUACAUUUCCUUUCAUAGAUAACACAUCUAAAUUAGUAAAAGCCUUCACCUUUUUAUUUGUGCUACUCCACAACAAGUACAUUUAAGGAAUCCAAAUCAAGCAAAAAAUGAUAACAUUAUCCCUACAUAUAAAAAAACCAUAAUUUCUCAUUUUUCCCGUACUUUCUUAGCUACCAAACAAAUAGGUUACUUACAGAAACAACAAAAAAUAAAUUAUAUUACUAAAAACAAUCUCUACCCCCUCAAUCACCUAAACUUAACCAUAAAUUAUCUUCUCUUCACUUCACUAUUGUCAUAACCCAUUUUUGGGUUAUUUCCUAAUUCAUAUUUUUUUCUCUCUUCAAAAAAUACAAAAAAAUAAAAAAUAGUAUCAAAAAAUAUAACAGUGAAAAGAGGAUGCUAGAACACUAAAAAAAUGGUUAAAAAUUGGUUGAGGAGGUUCAAAACUACAAAGGUUAAAAUUUUACGGUAUUUUGUUGAUUGAUGAGAGCCCUGUUGACAAAGAAAAUUCAAUUUGAGGAUGAAAAGUCCAAAAUCAAACAUUUAUGGACUCAAUUAAAUUUUAUUGAAGGUUUAAUUGAAUUUAUGGAGAAUUUGAUUGCAAGAAAAAUUGAUUUUUGGAGUGAAUUUGGGCUUUAAUUGGAAGAAAUUAAAGUUUUGUGGUCAAAUUAUAAUUUUUUAGAGUUAAUUUGGUCAAAUCAGGGGCUUAAUUGCAUAAAUAUUGAAGUUUGAUGGUCAAUUAGAGACUUAAUUGAAGAAAUCAGAAACCAAGGACCAAAAUGAAAAACACGCGUAAAUAGAGGGGCUGUAAUUAAACCGAAUCAGGGGCCAAAUUGAAGAAAUUAGAGUUUAUUGAUCAAUUGAGGGUUAAAUUGCAUAAAUUAAAGACCCAAGACCAAAGUGAAAAUGGCGGCCAACUUCAGGGCCACUGUUUUCUUUUUGGCAGGGAUGCAAUUGCAUUAAUUUUUAAAUCAAAAUUGUAAUUGAGGACUUGAUUGAACAAAUCACAAAUUGAGAACCAAUGUGAACUCUGACACGUUUUUUUUUGCCGCCUUUUCCUUUUAAAUGAAACGGUGUGUUUCUUCUAAAACGGCGUCAUUACAUACACUAUUCAUUAAAAAAGAAGCAAAAAGCUCAAAACGGUGUCGUUUUGAACGACAGUGUAGCCUUUCUUGUUCCCCUGGACGCGCGAGGCAGGGGAAGAAGAAGUCUUUUCUCCCCUGCUUUGCUCGUUCCCUCUUUCUCCGAAACCACCAAAAAGACGCCGACCCAAAACACCCCACUUGCCUAAGUUCUGACCUGUGGCCUACCACGAGGUAAAGAAAAACAGAGGGGAUGCACCACUUGGGCGGUUGUGAGGUCGCUGCACAGUGGUCGCCCCUGCCUCUCUCUCCCCUCUGUUUUACCUAUAAAUACAGAGGGGGAGAGCACAAAAGGAGAGCACGAAAAGGACAGGGGGAAAGACCGAAAGAAAGAAAAAACAAGAAGACCCAAAGAGGAAGAAAGGUUGGAAGAACAAGAGAAGAAAAAAAAGAAAAAAAAGAGAGAAAAACAGGGGAAGACAAGGGGGAAGAAACUGUCCACCGCCUGCAACCACCACCGGCCACCACAGCAUGCCAUCGCGAACCACCAGCAGUGCCACCGCUUCAGGUAACUGGCUCUUCCCCACCGUUUGUUUCUUUGCCGGCGUCGCUUGCAUUUUUGUAUACAGAAUGUUAAUAUUUCACGUUCUGCUGCAAAAUGCAACGUGGGCUGGUCAUUAUGCUGAUGCACAGUAACCAGCCCAUUUGGGCAUGGGCCGAGACAUCAGCCCAGCCCAUAGUAGAUGGGUUGGAUCCGGCCCAGCCCAGAAGGGGGUGGGCCAAGCCCAACCCAGUUUUUUUGGGAAUUUUACUAUUUCCUAUCUUAUUUUUACGUCUUUUUUUAUUAGUAUCGAAAUAUUUUUUUACGUCGUUAAAAAUACAAAUCCGGUAUUAAAAUACCUAGUUUUCGUCAACUUAAAAAAAAAUUGAAAUAAAUGUUUUUAUGCAUACGUCCAAGUGUCUCAAAGCUAAAAAAUCAUAUUGUGUUUUUCAUACACCAAAAAAACAAUGUUAUAGCAUGCAUUUUGGCUUUAAUAACCAGUUUAUUAAAGUCAAGAGAACAUUGACCAAAAUAUAAAAAAAAAAGAAUUUAUUUUGUGUUGUUUUAGUAUUAAGGAUUACGAAUUUAUAUGUAAAACAUAUUCCCGAUAUUAAAAAGGUAUUUUCUUUUGACGACAUAGAACAGUUAGGUUUUUACCCGAUAAGAUAAGGAUCUCCUUACAGAGGAGGACUUUUCUUAAAUCGUAGACAGACCGACAAUUAGAAACCAUAACAAGACUUUAGAUUUUAUCAGACAACAAAACAAUGCAGCUUACCUUAGAUAGCGCGUAGUUGGAGUGCUAAUACCUUCUCUUUACGCAACCAGUCUCCGUACCUGAUCUCCGAGACCAGUUAGGGUUCUUAGUGACCAGAACACUAGGUGGCAACUCUCAUUCUAUUUUUACUGAUAAGAGACAAGAAUUCCUUGUAUCUUCAUAUUUGCCAGAUAGACCUAUAGACCAUUACAUUUUUCUUUGAGUGGGUGGACGAUCGUCGCAACGCUGAACACGUGCGACAACUAUUUAACCAACCAAGAAACCAUUUUUGAUACUUAAACAAACUCUUUUACGAAGAUCUCAAAAAUUCACUAAUCUCUUUUUCUUAGUUAGCUAAAUACUUAAACUAUAAAUUAUAAAUCAUUACCCCACUUUUCCACCAACCAACCAAGAACCCAAAUCAUCAAUAAAAAUAAUCCUCCACUAAACCAAGUAAAAAAAUAAACAUUUAAAACAAUACCUAAAAUUCAAAAAACAAUCUUCCUAUAUUACCAACAUGCAAAAAUUAACAAAACCCAUAAAAACCUAAAUCACAUAAACCAAAUAGCAAAUAAAUUACCUUCAAAUCGGGUAAAAACCAUAACCUAAACUUAGGAUUUAACAAUGCCAAGUCCUAAGUUUAUUAAAUGAAGAAGAAGAAAUCAAACCUCAGAUGGGUAGAAAAGAGGUAUUGUCGACGUCGGAUGUGUGAGUGGGGUAGGGGUAAGAUAGUUACUGUUGUUGUUUUGAUGAUAAUGAAUAAGAAAAAGAAAAAGAAGAAGAAAAAGAAAAAGAAAUUGGAAGAUGAGAGGAACUCUGAGUUUUAAUUCAUUUUAAAAACAUCAAUGAAAAAUCAUUUAGCAAUUUAAAAAUAUUAAAAUACCAAUGUAAUUGUCGACAAAAUAUUUUUAUUUUUUAUUCCGUUUUUGUUCCCAUAAAAAAUUAUUGAAGAAAAUCUUUCAUCGUAAUUUCCAUCAGUAAAUAAUUAUGAAACAUUUUUUGUCAUGUUUUUGUUAUUAGUGCAUGCCCACAUCUAUUUGUUUUUGUUACUAUUCUCCAAUUUUUUAGUGGUGUAUGCUCACGUCUAUGAGCAAGUUGGUUUGUUUUUGCAAGUAUAAAUACUUCAUGAAAAUGUCCGGCAAGGGAGGACACAAAAAAAGAAAUAGAUAGACUCCUACAAGGAGAAAACAUUCUCAUGUGCGGAAAGGUCCAGAAUCCAUCAAGGUUUUCAGCAAGGAAGGAAGAUGAUAAAAACUCUUGCUUAAAAUGAUUCAUGCAUGCAUGUCAUAUAAAAAAGAGAAAAGAAGAGAAAACUCUUUUGAGAGACUACGACCGUGUCUUCAUCACAAAAUUGAAAAUUGAUUAUCAUCUUUAUAAAUUUAAGAACUCGAGGUCAGUCUGUGAAUUUAAUGGAAAUUAAUGCAUGAAAUUAUUGAAAAAGUAUAUAUAUAUAUAUAUAUAUAUAUAUAUAUAUAUAUAUAUAUAUAUAUAUAUAUAUUAAGGCAAGAGACGAUAUACAUGUAAAUACUCUUAUAUACUAUUGUAUAUAGGAAAUAUUGUAGACAUACUCUUGUGUGGUAACCUCCGCCAUUACUAUUGUAUAUUGCCCUACAUAUAUAUAGAAAGGGUUGGCUAACCAUUAAGUUAAGCCUUCUAAUUAUUCUCAACUUGGUAUCAGAGCCUUUUGCCGUCAGAACUCCUUUCUCCCUCCCUCCCUUUGCAGCCGGCCCUCUCUCUCUUUUUCCUCCAUGGAUUCUACAGCUGCCGCCAACUUCCCUCUCUCCACCGGUGGUGCAGCACAGCCGGCCAGCCAUCCCCAAGCUGCUGCCGGUGGUAUCUUUUCUCCCUAACAGCAGCCUCCACUUGCAGAGCAUGUCUCUGAUUCUUCUUCACAAGUCUCUGUCGUUCCUUUGCCUCUCAUGGGAACACACACUCCAGCUAUCGUUCCUUUAUCAAACACCCACCAAGUUGUUUCGUUGAAACUUAUAAACACAAAUUAUCUCUAUUGGCGAAUGCAGAUGAAGCCAUAUCUCCUUGGUCAAGGUGUUUUUCACUUCGUUGACUGCUCCGUGCCGUGUCCUCCAUCUCAUAUUUUUGACAGUUUUGCUGGUUCUUCAUCUACCACCAGCCCUUCUUUUCUUCGUUGGAAGCAACAAGAUCAACUUAUUUUGAGUGCUUCACUCUCCUCUCUCUCUGUGGAUGUGUUGCAUCUCGUGGUAGAUUGUUCUACCUCGCAUUGUGUUUGGCGCACUUUUGAGAAAGUGUUUGCCUCUCCGUCUUAUUCUCGCAUCAUGCAACUCCAUGGCUCCUUUCAAGACCUUCGUCAAAGUGACUCAAAUGCACACCAUAUAUAAAUGUGUGUCAUUCUUCUUAAGAAGUACUUUAAGAUAUUAAUUAUUCACUUUGAAAUUCUUAAAUAACUUGUAAACCUCCAACACCAUGGGCCCGGGGGGUGUUUGGAGGGAGACUUACAAGUAUGGGCUCUAUGACAAUGGAGGAAUGGUGGUGGGAAUGAUAGCGAAAGUAGAGAUAGUGGUGAUGAAGAAGUCGAUAGAGCCAAUAAUACAGAAAUUCCACCGGACCCGUAUGAAUCAGAGCUGUUAUAAUUACACCAUUUAACCUCCACAUGGGGAGAUAGCUAGCUCCUGGAAUUUUUUUGCUACCAACAUAGAUCCUGGAAUUUUUUUGCUACCAACAUAGAAUAAAAUUCCAUUGAACAAUAUUUGGUCAUCCCUGCGCAGAUAUCCAGCUAGAGAGUGGAAAUUAAUGCAUGAAAUUAUUGAAAAAGUAUGUAUAUAUAUAUAUAUAUAUAUAUAUAUAUAUAUAUAUAUAUAUAUAUAUAUAUAUUAAGGCAAGAGACCCUAUACAUGUAAAUACUCUUAUAUACGGAUAGUUAUUAUGUGUAAUACAUUCCAAAUUAUAUUGUACACAACCCUAAAGGUAUACUUCAACAAUCUGCUGCCGCUGCAUCAGCACUUCGGUCUUCUUUCUCCCCUGUGGCGCAAUCAGUUAUCUAUGGCGUAUCCACUACUGCUGCCAUCAUACCUAUUCUUAAAACACACCAGGUAGUCUCUUUAAAACUCUCCAACACCAAUUUUAUGUAUUGGAGGAUGCAGAUGAAACCGUUUUUUUAGGCCAAAGCGUGUAUUCCUUCGUUGAUGGCACAUCAUUAUGUCCUCCUUCACAUAUGGCAUCUACUGCGACAUCAGCACUCUCUGUCAACCUUGCAUAUUUGUCAUGGAAGCAGCAAGAUCACUUAAUCAUGAGUGCCCUCCUAUCUUCUGUCUCGGUGGAAGUUCUGCACUUAGUUGUGGAUUCUAACACCUCUCAUGACAUUUGGACAACGCUGGAAACAACUCUUGCCUCUCCUUCAAAUUCUCGGAUUAUGCAACUUCACGACCCAUUCCAAGAUUUACAACAGACUGAUGAUUCUGCCAGCAUCUACUUGCAGAAGGCAAAGAUCUUAUUUGAUGAACUUGCUACAUGUCAUGUGCACCAUUAAAACCCAAUGUUUCAAGCAUUUGACUUGUAAUCAAACGGCUAUCAAUAUUCCAUCCUUUAGCAUACUUGAGGGUAUACCACUAGUUGCCCGCAAGAUCUGUGUGAAGACUCCGAGACAUAGUGAAGAGGAUAUUGUUUUGUCACUGUGUAAUAUAAUCUGCCUCAUUUCUUGGCCAUUGUUAUUAGCAUGCUAGUUUUAUUUCGAAGAAAGCAAGCUCUGCUUCCUAGUAAAAGUUUUUCUUUAUAGUUUGAAUAAACCUCCAUUGCUAGGUUAAAGUGAACCAAACCAGCAGAAACGAACUAAGUGAUUACAUUGAAAAGCCCGUAGAUUGCAAUGUUUUUUUUCUAGAAAUGCUAGAGAGCUUCCCAACUCUCUUUCUUUUUUCUUUUCAUUUUUGUCUUUUUUAAAAUAAAAAAAUUCCAUCCUGAAACGUUUUUUAUUGAAUUAUUUUUUAUGACUAAAUUCUAUGAGAUAAAGUUUUAAAAAGUUGCGGAAAGAUAAAAUUAAAAGAGAAAGGAUAAUAAUGUAAAACAUACAAAAAAUACGUGGUUAGUCUCAAAGUUUUUAGAAUUUUGAUUUUGAUCCAUAGAUUCAUUUUUUUAUUAGAUUUGACAUCUAAGAGAGAACAUUAUCGAAAAUGGCAAAUGAGAGAAAAAGUUGUCAAUUGACCAUAUUCUAACAACAAAAAAGCACAAUCUUGGUAUUAACGGUUUCAUUCAAUAGAAAGAUUUUCAUUGAAGUGUUUUUUCACCUUAAUUUAUCUUUUCAAAAAAAAUAGAUCAAGGUUGUGAGAUGAUUUUUUACCAUUUUGAUUUUAUGUUUUUAAAAGUGCUUUGCGUUGAUAGAUAGUUUAUUGAUAUUAUAAGGAUGUUUAUUAGGUGUUUUCAAAUGAAAAUAGGUUGGAAAAAUAAAUUAUUGAGUCGAAAAAACCCUAACUAGAUAUGAUUGGAAACUAAGCAAGUAGAUAAUGCGCAUUGUCUACUUUUAUUUUAUUUUUUUUAAAUGGGCCAGGCAUUGGGCCACAUAGACCCAACCACCUAGCCUUUGUAUAUUUGAUUAUACUUUUUUUUUCUAAUUAAAUUUUAUGAAAAUAAAUAAAUUCAAAAUAUCAUUUUCAAGAAUAAGAUUAUAGUUGUUUUUUAUAAAAUUAACAAGCACUUUUUUUUACAACCCUUUGUGACUUGUAUAUAUUUUUUUUCUUAAAUUUUGAUUUUGGGAUUUUUUGCGCAAUUGUUUUUUAUUAUCACAUGAUCGCAAAAAAAAACAUAGUCAAAAUGUUUUUGAUGUAUUAUUUUUAUAUUUUUGUAAUACAUUCGAGACCUAAUAAUGAAACCAUCGAUUAUUGUUUUAUUAGAUUUUUCUUUUACGACCCUAAUAAUUUUUUGCUUCAUAAAAUAACAUUUUAAUAAAUACUUUUCCAAAAAAGAAAUUGAAUUAAUAAAAUAAAUAGGUUUUAAUUAAAAGGAUGUUGUUUUUAUCAUUAUUUUGAAUCCCUUAUAGCCUAUUAGAUAUUUAUUUUAAUGGCCUUCGGAUUUUAUUAAAUGAAGUAUAUUGCUUAAAAAGCUAUGUUUUUUUGUUGAAAAAAAUAGAUUAGUAAAAAAAUGAAUUAUAUUAGAAAAAUAUUUAUUUCAAUAAAAUUUAAAUUAUUUUAUUUUUUUAUAAAAAAAUCAUUACAUAUAAUGACUUAAAAAAAAUAUAAAUUGUUUUAUAUGGCACGAGAUUUAAUAUAUUAAUCUGUAUUUAUUUCUCAGUUUUCCAAUUUAAUUUUUAAUAUUUAGUUAUAUAUAAAUUAUUUUUUAAAUUAAUUAAUUAAAUGCAUGUAUUAAAUUCUUACACGUAACAAAUUUUCUUUAAACUAAAAAAGCUCAAAUUAUAAAAUAAAUUUUGAGCCGAGGCGAGCAAAUUUGGCCGGUGAAUUACUAUAUAACAAUUUAACUUCAUACAAUGUCGUGCUUCAAAAAUUCCAGAUGUCAAGUCCAAGAACGUUCUGAUUAUUGUCUGAAAAAUCAAAAUCACUCCCUCUUCUUGCAACAACAUAUUGACCCCACCUUAAUAUUUUCUUUGGAGGGCAGCCAGGCUUUCUCAGUGUUCCAUUUAUCUUUUCUGUGAUGUAAAUUCUCCAUGCACCAUUUUUAUCAAAUUCCUACAAUACCCAUGUCGGUUUUGUAGCAUAAUGUUCCACAUCAAAUUCAUGGUUAAUAUAUUUUAGUUAUAGUUUUGUUUUGUAAACUAAUUUUUAUUUAAAAAGUAUUAAAUUAAUGUUUUUUAAUAUUUUUUAUAGUGUUAAAUCAAAAAUUAAAACAUCUGAAGAUGGGCAGAUCUGAUAUCUCUCAUUGGACAAAGAAACAGGUACACACAUAUCUAUGCAUUUAUAUAAUCUUCAAUCAGAGCAAACUAAAGAGUUCUUUAUUCGUUCAUUGAUUGAAUGGGAUGAAUGUAUCAUAUAUUCCUUGCUUAAUGUUCAAGAUUUGCAAUCUUAUUAAAUCACUUUUUUCUUAAUUAUCAGGUUGUGGAUUUCAAACCAAGCAUAAAUAUAGAUUUGGGUGGUUUAGCAUGAAGCUGAAAUUGGUUGGAGGUGACUCUGCAGGUGUUGUGACAUGACAGCUUAUUAUGGAAGUCUUUCUUCUACCGCCCCAUACGCUCAAAAUGCCUUAAAGAUUCAUGGCUGUGAAGCUUAAUCAAAGACUUCAUAAAUAUUUUAACUAUUUUUUUGUACUUAAUUCUAGCUUGACAGCAAGUACAGGAAAUUAUCAGGGACGGAGGCUAAAGUGGAUUCAUCUGUUUUUUUGCAGAUGUGUACAGAGAAUGGGGCAGGGCCAACAAGAGAUGAGCUGGACUUUGAGUUCUUGGGGAAUAGAACUGGAGAACCCUAUUUGAUUCAAACAAAUAUAUACAAGAAUGGUACUGGUAACCGUGAAAGGAGGCACAUGCUUUGGUUCGACCCUACCGAGGAGUUCCACACCUAUUCCAUUCUCUGGAACAAUCUACAGAUAGUGUAAGUCCUUCGAUUCUAUGCUACAGCUAGAUCAAGGCACCUGAUGAUUCAAGUUUUCAUGCUGCAAUCUUGCACAAAAGCAAAAGCAAAAAAGAAAAUGGCAAAAACAGUAGAUUAAAGGGCUGGUUGCGUCCCGGUGUGUUUGGUAACGUAGAUGUUUUUCCAUUGAAAAUGCAUAUUACAAUUAUGUUUUUAUAUUAACACAUUAAAAAACACUUAAAAACAUCAAUUUAAUAUCUCUGAGACGAAAAGCAAUAGCUACUGCAGGAAGAGAUAAACAUUGUGGGAACAGUCAAUAAAUAAGCCUCAGAGAUUUGCUUGCAACUUGGGUUCGAUGGACAGUGACACUGACUUGGAUUUUUCAUACGCUAAGCAGGUUUUUUGUUGAUAAAGUAGAGCAAUAAGGGUGCCCAAGAACAAUGGAGAACCAAAUAAUUUCUUCCCCAAUGAGAAGCCCAUGUACCUAUUUUCAAGUAUCUGGAACGCCGAUGAUUGGGCUACUAGAGGAGGGCUAGAGAAGACAGACUGGAAAAAGGCCCCAUUUGUGUCCUCUUACAAGGACUUCACUGUUGAAGCUUGUCAAUGGGAAGAUCCAUACCCUGCCUGUGUAUCAACAACGACUAAAUACUGGUGGGAUCAAUACGAUGCUUGGCAUCUCUCAGAUGAACAGAAAAUGGACUGUGCCUGGGUCCAAAGAAACCUUGUGAUCUAUGAUUAUUGCAAAGACACUGAAAGAUUCCCAGCGCUGCCAGUGGAGUGCAAAUUGAGCCCAUGGGAUUGAUGGGCAAGUGAUGAGUUAAUUGUUAUUCUUCAGCAUCAUAUAUUUUUUCUAUUUCCUUUUUGUCUUUUUCUUGGUUACCAUUUUGAGAUGGGUAUAAAUCACAAUGUAUUUUUCUGCCAGCUAUUCUAUUUCACUAUUGCACAUCUAUUUAAUUUAUUCAAUUAUUUAUAUUCAAUUCAAAUAUAAAUUCCUGUACUUUGUCCAUCCUGUAAAGUGUUUUUCUCUAUCUUCUUAAACUCCAAUAAAAAUAUAAUCAAUGAAAAACACUUCGUAGAAUAACAGUUUUAUUUUUAUUUUGGGUAGAAUAUAUUUUUUAAAAGUUAUAAGAUUUUAAAAAUAUUUUGUUAUAUAUGUUGAUUAUAUUAAAUUUCACCUAUAUAUAUUUUGUUUUGAAUUAUUUAUUUAGUUAUUAUUUUUUCAAUUUUGUCUCUUAAAAUUUGAUUUAACUUGAUUUUUAUAUUAUCUUGGGUUCUUAUUUUUUUUUAUUGUUAUUUGUUUUUCUUCUAUCCUUUUCUUAAUUGAAUUUUUUUUAUCUUGUUAUUGGUUUCUAUUCUUUUGAUAUUUACUCGUCUUUUAAUUUUUUUUUCUGUCAGAUUUGGUCCUUAUUUUUUUAUGACUAUUUUUUUAUUUUAGAUAAUUUAUGAAAUUAGAAUUUUUUUUAAUUUCAUCCUCCAAAUUUUUCAUCAAUUAAUUUUGAUCCCUAUUCUUUAAUAAACUUGAAAAAUAUUUAAAAAUAUUAAUAAGUUAUUUUCUAACUUAUUUUUCAUGGCAUAGCUAAAUACUAUAAAAUAUUUUCCAACUUAUUUUUCAUGGUAUUGUCAAAUAUAAAAAAAUAAUCUACUUUUUAAAAAUUUACUUUCCAUGAAAAAUAUUUUUUUUAAAAAAAAAACACUUUCCGAUAGAUAAAUUAGGCAAGUAGAAGGAUUUACAGUAUAUCGUUUUUUGGCAACCCACUAAUAGUUCUUGUAUCUUGAUUUUCUAUUUUUAUAUUUUAUUUUUAAAAAGUGUUCAAUAUUAUUUCAAUGUAAAGCCACUUAGACGAAAAGGGUACAAUGUAAGAAUAAAUAGCAUAAUAAAGUAGUUGACGUAAAAUAAAUAAAAAUAAUAUAUCCUUCUUUUAAUUAAAAAAAAAAAUCAUUCUCAUUUGUUAUUUUUAUUCUCACCUUCCACUAUGAAAAUAAAAUUAGAUUUAAUUUUUAUUUUCAUUUCGAUUUUGUUCUUUUAACCAAAUAGGCUCUAAGUUUUAUCAAUUUCUAAAAGAAACAUUCUUGGACUAACCGACUAUGAAUUUGGCUUAAUCAUCAAAACAUGAGGGCUACCUCAAUCGUUUGGUGGUGAGAUUUAUACAGUAUGCAGUCGUGCCUACACAAUUAUUCUUAAAAAUGAUGCAACUUACAAGUCCUUUUUCAAUUCUCUCAAAAGAGAAAAGGAAUACUAUAUUUUUUUUUAUAUAGUUGACGAUUAUAUUAUUUGAUGGCCUAUCAAAACAUACCUUCUAGAUUUUUUAAAUUGUUUUUUCCAAUUUUUUUCAAGUUAUUAUACUAUCUACAUUGGUCGGCGCUUCAUUUGACCAUUCGCUAAUGAUCAUCCGGUGGCUUCUCUCUAUAUAUAUACAUAUAAAAUUGGAAAAAAUAUUGCUUAAAUAUAUAAUUUAGGCCGCCUCUGUAAGCUUUAAACUUGUAGAUAUGGGGGGAUCAUGAGUUUGACUUUUAUGUUUUCCAAUCUCCGUUUCUUAAAAUCUUUUUAAUUCCAUUAUUGAUUUUUGAAAGACCCAGUUUUUUGUUUAACUAUAUAAAUACAAAACAACUCAAGUAAACCAUCUGAAGAAAUUCCCGUCAGUUUGGAAUUGUUCGAGUCGUAAAUAUAUAGUUAUCUUCCAUGAAAUUGAUGUGCUAGGAUUUUCCAAAAUGUUGGAGAGCAUACAUAGUCAAAUAGAAUUUUAUAUGGUUUCAAGGGUGAUUUAUUUGACGAGGACAUAAAUUAUUUAAUUUAAACAAAUAAUGACCAAGAACAGAAUAUGAAGAAUUAAUUAGCACUGGUCAUCGACACAUAUAUGUGAUCCUUUCACACCACAUAACCUUCAAUUUCAUGCUAUAAAUACUACCUCUCCUCCUCUUGUUUCAGCAUCACAAAAACAUCUUCCAAAUCAACAAAAUCUCUCCCCCCCUUCUCAGUCUUUUAGAAUCCCAAGUUAAAAUGGGUGUCAUCACUUUGGAAAACGAGUUUGCUGUUGCUGUCGCCCCGGCCAAGCUUUUCAAGGCAUACUGCCUUGAGACCGACACUCUUUUGCCUAAAAUUCUACCAGAGCACAUUAAGAGCUCUGAGAUAAUUGAAGGAAAUGGAGGGCCUGGAGCCAUCAGGAAGAUCACUUUUGCUGAAGGUUAGUAUAUUAUAUGUUGCAAUUACUUUUAAUUAUAUUAACUAUAUUGAAAUCAGCAUAACACUCGCUAUAUCUACCGCACAAAGAAGUAACAAAUUGAUUUUGCACUUGCAGGAAAAGAUCUCAGUUAUGCCAAGCAGAAGAUUGAGGCAAUUGACGAAGAGAACUUGACCUACAGCUUCAGCUUGAUUGAAGCCAAUGUUUGGAAGGAUGCAGUUGAAAAGGUGACUUAUGAGCACAAGUUCGUGGCAACUCCUGAGGGAGGUUCCAUUUGCAAGAGAACCAGCACAUAUUACAUCAAGGGUGAUGCUGAGAUCAACAAAGGCCAAAUCAAGGACGUGUAUGGCAAAAAGACCGCAGGCUUGUUGAAGGCUGUUGAAGCCUACUUCUUGGCAAAUCCAGAUGCCUAAAUAUGAAAAUUCCCAUGUGUGUGUGUGUGGCCUUUUUCUUGGUUGUCUUUGGCAGUGUGGUUAUUGCCUUUUCUUCUUCCUUUGGGUAAAUUUUCCAUCCUUGUUACUGGCAAAAAAAAAUUGAGAGUACAGAAGUAUAUCUUCUAUUACUUUAAUAGUAUUUGAUUAUGUGGUCAUUUGGUUAAUUGUAUUGAAGCAGUUCUUUUCAAUAGUUGAUGUUAUUGGUAUUGUUUUCAAAAUACAUAAUAAAAAUCACCAUGUCAUCAAGUGUUUACUUUGAAUCGAUGUAUCGAAGGUUUUCUUUAUACAUAAUCUGUUUUCUUAAAGAGCACUUGAAUUUAUGGACCUUUCCCUCCUUCCUCAUUUUUUUUUUCAAAUGAUAAUAUAUUGAAGAGCAAAAACAUUUGUCAUGCUGGUUAUGCACGCAUAAACUAUCCUUUUGGAAAGAUUUUAUGUUUGUAAAAUCCAACGAAUAGAAUGUAUGCACGUAAGAAAAUAAUUUAUAUGACCAGGGGGUGGUUAAAUGAUUUUCUUAUUCAAACUUCACUUUCUCUUUUAUUUUUUUUAUGUUAUUUUCACAUCAAUAAUAAUAAUAAUAAUAAUAAUAAUUAUUAUUAUUAUUAUUAUUAUUAUUCUUUUUUAAUAAAAAAAAUAAUAAUCUUAACACUUCCUCUCUAAGUUGGUGCAUAAAUAUCACAUAUGCCUAACUUGUUUAAAGUUGAGAAUAAUUAGCAGGCUUAAUCUAUUGGUUAGCCAACCCUUUUUAUAUAUAUAUAUAUGUAGGGCAAUAUACAAUAGUAAUGGUGGAGGUUACAACACAGGAGUAUAACUACAAUAUUUCCUAUACAGUAUGCCUACAAUAUUUCCUAUAUAGAUGCAUUAAUAUGCCCCCUCAAAUUGAGGGUGAAGGAUCAGCCCGAAACUUGAAAUGAAAAGUUGUAAAAAAAAUAGUAGGAAGUGGCUUAGUAAAGACAUCUGCAAGUUUAUCCUGAAAGGAAAUAAAAUGAAUCUAGAUCUCCUUCUUCACAACUCUAUCUCGGACAAAACAUGAGGGCUACCUCAAUCGUUUGCUGGUGAGAUUUCAAGUUAGAAUUUGGCUUCAUGAGUAACCGACUACAUCUGAUCCGAUCCAUUGACUUGGAUUACUGAGAUUUUGGAUGGUGAGAUAAUACACACACACACACACACUUCAGUUGAAUGUCUAAACUUAGAGUCACAAUAUUGUUAAGGUUAUUGAUAAGAAAAAUCCUAUUCAGGAAGUUUUUCAGAUAAAACUUCCUUAUGAUCUGCAGUCAAUCCUGCAUAAUAUGGUGCUAUAAUUCCUUAAGAAUAUCUGUUAUGAUUAUGUACAACUAUAAACUAAAUUAGCUCCACAUUUAUCUUCUUCUUUUACUCUUUUAUAAUGUACUCCUAUAUAUAAAUACAAACUAAUGUACAAUGUUUAAGUUGAUCAGAUAAGAAUCAUACAAAAACAUUCUUCUCCUAACUUGGCAUCAGAGUCAUUAUAGCUCACAGAUACCUUUUCUUUGAUUCUGCUUCCACAUAAUGUCUUCUUUAUUACCUUUACAUGAUAUCAACAACCCUCUCAAUCUUUCUCAUACCUCACCUCUAUCAUCCUUUAAACUUGAUGGAUCAAAUUAUCUAAUCUGCUAGUCCCAAUUUCUAUCAUUUCUAAACAGUAAUGAUCUUCUAGUGUUCGUUGAAGGUUUUGACCCUGUCACUGGGAAAACCAAUGCUGAUAAUUCACCCAAUCCCUCUUAUACAACAUGGUAUAAGAAAGAACAAGAUCUAUUGGGUAUUAUAUUAUCAUCUCUUAGUCUAAAUUUUGUUAGAAUAGUGUAUGGUUUAACCACAUCCAAACAAGUCUAGACUGCUCUUAAGACUAGAUUUUCUAAUCAGUCACAAUCUCAUAAUCUAUGUUUGGAUUUGUCUUUUAUGUUGUGAUCCGGUCUUAUGAUCAUUAUCACAAGUUUUAAAGGUUGAGUCAGGUUGGCUUCGGUCAUUUUUAUUUUUUUUAUUUUUAAUUUCAUCUAUCAUCAUUAGAUUCGUUGGUAAUUUGUAUUUUUUUUUUUUUUUUGCCUUUUCUUUCUAUAAAGUUAUUCUAAUAUCAUGUUCUAAGUUAUGGAUUUAGCAAGUUUACUGGGUUUGACUUGGUCUUUUUUUUCAUUGCUUUUUAAGUUUUUUUUAAUCUCGAGUCAAUGACCAGAAUCUUAAAUAUUUUUUUAAAAAUGUUUGCGUCAUCUUGAUGUUUUUUUCUACAAUGAAAAACAAAUAAAUAGACUCGUGGUAUAGCGCUGGACACCUAUCUAGUAAUAAUCUAAAAAUUAAUAAUAUGAUAAUCUAAAACUGAUAAUAUGAAAUGAAGUGUUAGUGAAAAUGAUACACUCAUAUGCGAAAACAUACAAAUACAUUUUGAUCUUAAAUAGACAAGAAAUUUAACCAUAGUCUUAUUAUUACAAUUUGAUCCUUUGGUUUUAAAAAUAUACAAGCACAUCAAUAUUUACUUAAAUUGAAAAUGGGACAUCACUAAUUCUAUUAUAAAAUAGGACAUUAAGAACAUAUUAUUAUAAUUCUUUUUAUUAUUUUCCAUAUAAAAUAAAUGAGAUCAUAAAUGGAUGGUAAAUUGUCAUUUUUAAAAUAUUAAUAUUUAAAAAAAAUAUUAUAAAAAAUGGAUGAAACAAUUAAUUGAGAAUUUUCAAAAACUUUAUAACACAACAAAAUUAUUAGGCAUUUAAUUGAUAUUCAGGAUAUAAUUUGAAAACUAAUUUAAGUUAAAUCUUUUAUUUAUUUAUUUAUUAUGCAAUCGUGCCUGCACAAUUAUUCUUAAAAAUGAUGCAACUUAUAAGUCCCUUUUCAAUUCCCUCAAAAGAGAAAAGGAAUACUAUAUAUGUUAUUAUUUGAUGGCCUAUUAAAACAUACCUUCAAAAUCAUCCAGCAGCCGUUCUUCAUAGCAGAGAUCUUCAUCUUUUUCCUCUGUUACUUCUCAUCUAUUAUAUCCACCAGCAGCCGUCCUUCUUAGCAGAGAUCUGCAUCUUCUUCCUCUGUUACCUCAUAUCUGCAAUAUCUGGAGGUCCUCUUCCUCCUUAAAACCAAACUGCAACCUCUUCUACCUUGCAACAUGGACAAUCAAGAACUUCAACAAUCUGUUGCUGCUGCAUCAGCACUACAGUCUUCUUUCUCGCCUGUGGCGCAACAGUUAUCUAUGGCGUAUCCACUACUGCUGCCAUCAUACCUAUUCCUAACACACACCAGGUAGUCUCUUUAAAACUCUCCAACACCAACUUUUUGUAUUGGAGGAUGCAGAUGAAACCGUUUCUUUUAGGCCAAAACGUGUAUUCCUUUGUUGAUGGCACAUCAUUAUAUCGUCCUUCACAUCUGGCAUCUGCUGCGACAUAUGCACUUUCUGUCAAAUUUGCAUAUUUGUCAUGGAAGUAGCAAGAUCACUUAAUCAUGAGUGCCCUCCUAUCUUCUCUCUCGGUGGAAGUUUUGCACUUAGUUGUGGAUUCUAACACCUCCCAUGACAUUUGGACAACGCUGGAAACAACUCCUGCCUCUCUUUCAAAUUCUCAAAUUAUGCAACUUCACAGCUCAUUCCAAGAUUUACAACAGGCUGAUGAUUCUGCCAGCAUUUACUUGUAGAAGGCAAAGACCUUGUUUGAUGAACUUGCUGCAGCUAGCAGACCAAUCUCCUUGGCCAAAUUCAACUUGUAUGUGUUUCGAAGGUUACGCAGUGAGUUUAAGGAUCUUGUCAUCAGCUUGUCCACUAAGGAUGUUACCAUCUCCUAUACUGAUCUUCAUAGCAAUCUUCUUACACAUGAGUUUCUUCACAAAGCCUCUCUCCAACCAUCUGUAACAUCUCCUCUGUUACCAACUCCAACGCAGCAGUCAGCUAUGUUCUUUGUGCAACAUCAAUCUGGCUUUAGUACUAGCAAACAAGGUUGGUUUUGUGGGGGCUGGAGACCUAACAAUCAACAAUGUGGCCAACAUGGAAACCAGUUCUCCUCUGGUUCUUCCCAACAUGGAAACCGGUUCUCCUCUGGUUCUUCCUCACGGAUAACAAGCAGCUUUAGGCAGCAAGGAAAUCGUUUUGGUGGUUAUAAUCGCAAUACUACCCAACAGUAUUCUCAAUUGGCUACUCAUCUUACGCAAGCAAAUGGUAAUCUCGCAUUUAAUAAUGUAUCUACCACUACUCCUAUUACUUGGUUUCCUGAUACAGGUGCAAAUCAUCAAGUCACGCCGGACCUUGUAAGUAUGACGAGUUCAGAACAUUACCUUGGAAAUGAUCAUCUGCAUAUUGGUGAUGGUAAGGGCCUUGUUAUUUCAAAUAUUUCCCACUCUAAAAUUCGUUCACCCAAAUGCACGUUUACUUUAUCUAAUAUUCUACAUGUUCCUGCCAUUAAAAAACCUCUGCUAUCUGUUCAAAAAUUUUAUCUUGAGAAUAACGUCUUUUUUGAAUUUCAUUCCUCUCUAUUUUAUGUUAAGGGGGAGUAGAGAUGGUCUAUAUGUUUUGUCUGAGUCGUCCGCAACGUUGUUGCCUCAAGUUUUCUCAUCUACUUGUCUCUCUACUUUCGCUGAUGCCUGGCAUCGUCGCCUUGGGCAUCCCAAUCCACGUAUUCUACAUUUUUUGGUGAAAAAAAAGUGUCAUGUACAUCAACUCAGUUUACUUUUAAUUGUUGUCGCACGUCAUUAAAUCCGCACGGCAUCGGCUGGCGAUUUUUCUUUAUGCGUUUUGCUUUGAUUGGUUCGUUGGAGUCGCCACCUAGUAAUUUAUUGAGGGCUACUAGGAAACCUGAUGUACUGGUCUUGUUAGAGAUUCACGGGAAAGGGACUGGUUGUGGUUAGGGAAGGUAUUAGCACCCCUAACGCACCCUACCUGAGGUAAGCUGCUUCGUGGACUUGAUGUGUUUUUAAAAAUAAAAUUUUAGCCCAAUUCUAAGGCUUUGAUAAAUCAGUUAUUAGUUCCCAAAAUAUAUGUAGAUACAUGUUCUACAUUUUCAUGGAAAAUACAACAUGAUUUUAUCUGUCCUUUAGAUAUUUGUGCAUAUAAAUUAAAAUAUUAAAUUCAUUUUUUUUUAUUCAAUAACAUACAUAAAAAACAAAUACACAAACACACACACAUCUCUUUUUCUAUUAUUAUUUUCUCUUUCUUUUCUUUUCUUUUUGUACAUCACAUUACAAAAUUAUAAAAAAUUUAAACACUAAACAAAAAUUACAUUACAUAAUUUAAAAAUUACAAAAUAGUCCCUAAACUCCAGAAAUUGCAGAGGGACACUUCUGGAACUGCCUGAACAGUUCUGGAACAAUGGCGGCGCGUGGCUUCACGCGCCGCCGCUGACAGUGCUGGAAAUGGGCGGAUCUGCCCUGCUUUCUCCUUUUCUCUUCUCUGCCGAUGGUGACCUGCAAAAUCAACCAAAAACGCAACACAGGCAGUUGAUUUUAGUUGUUUUUCUUUGUUGUUUUUUAGAUCUGCUCUCGGGUUCUUCUCCCGGAUCUGUCCCGUUCGGGUCUGCUGCUAUGGAUUUCAUCUCCUUCUCCUCUGCUUCGGGCGGCGCUGCUGGCUGAUGGUGGAUCUGUGGCUGGGCAUGGAGAUCGGAGGAGAAGCUGUCGUGGCCGGCUGUUGUGGGGAGGAGCUGCUGCUGUUGCUCGUGGGUCUCUCUUUGAUUUACAUCUGCUCCUUCUGCCGAUGGCAGGACUGGUGGAGGCGGAUCGCGGUGGACGCGGGCGGAUCCGCCGGUGCCUGAGGGCUUCGGUGUGGAGCAGAAGGGAGGCGUUUCCUUGUGGAGCUGGAUCCGUGGGCCACUGGCGGUGCGAUUCUGCCGGCGUUCAGCGAGCUGGCCGCUAGUUCAGGAGGAAAGAGCUGAGGGAGGCCGCGGCUGAGGAAGAGAAUGGGGGUUCUCUUGUGGGUCUUGCUGCUGUCGUCUGCUGGCUGCUGGAGCUGAGUCGGCCAAGAGAGGGAAAAAUGGUGGUUGGCCGAGAGAGCAAGAAGAAGAAGGAAGGUGCUGGGAGCAGGAAGGAAAAGGAGAGCUGCAGUGGCUUGGGAGGUGAAGAAGAUGGUGGAACCGGCUGAAAAGGAAAACCAAAAACGUGGGGGGCCGGCCAGACGGCGGCUUGGAGAAGAGAUAGAUUUAGGGUUUUGUUUUUGUGUUGUCUCUCCCCUCAAAUAUCAAAAUUUCCCCCCUUUUAUGUGUGUUGAAGGCUGCUAUAUAUAGGCAAAUUAAUGUUUGGGCCUCAAAAUUAGUCUUCAACUUUCUCUUUUUUUGUAAAUUCUGAUUUUUCUUAUUUUUUUGUAUUUUUUGAAAACGAGCAAUAUCAACGUCAACUUAAAUGAGAAAAAUCAAUGAUUUUAAAAAUAACACGUGAAAAGUCGAACGCGUUCCAAAAAACCUAUGAAAACUUAAAUUCUUUUUUUAGACGACGUUAAAAAUGCUAAAAACGAUGCACACAUAUUAAAAACAUAUUUUUUUGGAUUUUCGUUGUUUUUCGCUAUUUUUGAAUUUUCCGAAGAUUUUAUCAAAAAGGUAGGUCAAAAAUUGGGUAACAACAAUUGUGUUGAGUGCCCUCUGGGCAAGUCGUCUCGUCUGACUCUAAAAACUACGGGUCAUCAAACUCGAGCUCCUCUUAACUUGAUUUUUAGUGAUGAUUGGGGUUCAUCCCCUAUGUUGUCAUCUGAUGGUUUUUGCUAUUUUGUUAUUUUUUUGGAUGCCCAUACGAAGUUUAUAUGGUUUUAUCCUUUGGUUGCUAAGUCUGAUGUUUUUCAAAUUUUUCAUCAAUUUCAGGCGCUUGUGGAGCGCCAAUUCUCCUUAAAAUUUAACUUUGUUCAAAUCGAUUAGGGUGGUGAAUAUCGAAAACUAAAUACAUAUUUUAAAAUGAUUGGUAUUCAUCAUCGUGUGAUCUGCCCGCACACUCAUGAACAAAAUGGCAUGGUUUAACGUCGUCAUAAACAUAUUGUUGAAACUGAGCUUACUCUUCUUGGGUAGUGCCACGCUUCCCUUAAAUAUUGGAGUUAUGCUUUUGAAAGCUCUGUUCAUUUGAUUAAUCGCAUGCCAACUCCAGUUUUUAAUCAUAAGACACCUUUUGAAUGUCUUCUAAAAUCGAUUCCUGAUUAUGCGUUUCUUCGUACCUUUGUGUAAACCCCGGGGGAAAAAAAUAAAUAAAAGUGAAGAAAUUCAUGCAUAUGGUUAAAUAAAAACAGGAAUUCAGAAAUUUUUUAAUAUAAAUUUCCGAGUGAAAUAAUUCGAGACAUUAUAAUAAACCCGGUACUGUUGAGGGUUGGAUUUAAUUGAAGAGAAUAACACACUUAAAGGAAAAGGGGGCCUAAAUGCAAAUAAGGGAAAAUAUAGAGUAUAAGUACUCUCUCCUCACCAAAAAUUUAGAGGAACCAUAAGGAGAGAAAAUAAGGAGUUUUAUACCCAUUCUUGCGAAAUCAAGAGAGAAACACUAAAAUUUCAACAACCCAUCCAACAUUAAGGGUUUAUAGAUGGGAUAAACACUUGAGAGCAAGGGAUUACCAAGAAAUUGAACAAGAAGAAAAGAAAGGAGGGAGUUAAAAAUCUUCAACUGGUUGAAGAUCAAAAUCUUAAUUCGUACUGGGUAAAGUGUUCUAAACAUGAUCUUAAAAAUUCAUUUUAAAUUCGAUAAUGAAUUGAUGUCUUGAUAUUGAAUCAUAGGUUAGGGUUCUUAGACAUGAAUUGGGGAAAAAGUACUUAUUGUUAAGAUUAAGUUAAUUCAUGUGUGUGGUAUGUAGUUUAUGAAAGUAUUGUGUGAAGGGGAGGGGGAGACGAAUCUGGACAGACUUGUCUCCUGACUUUCAGUGAGAUUUCAGGUAGGAGGAUGAGGGAAUUAGGAUUGGAUUCCUUCAUAGAAAUUGUAGAUUUGAAUGAUAGCUAACCAAGGAAACUGGUCUUCCUCAAUUUAGAGAUGUAGAACUCCAGUUAUGGGUUAUCAACCGAGACUGAGUUGUGACUGAUUAUGUAGGGCAGUAGGACUGAUUAGUUGAUGAGCAGUUUUGACUAUCUUGGAGGAAGAACUGGGUUCUCCUUUCUUCAGAGAACUAGUAGUCUCGUGUCUUAACUUUCUAACGAGAUCAAUCUCACUUAAAAUGGAGUUUUAAAACUUUAGAUAUAGUUAAAAAUCUGAUGAGCGUUCAGACAGUAACAGUUCAAAUGUCUAGACAGUAACAGUUGGACAGUAACAGUUCAAAUGUCUGGACAGUAACAGUUCAAAUUUAAACAGUAACGGUUGGACAGUAACAAUUCAAUGUGUAGACAGUAACAGUUCAAAUGUCUAGACAAUAACAGUUCAAAGUUAGACAGUAACAGUUGGACAGUAACAGUUCAAUGUGUAGACAGUAACAGUUCAAAUGUCUAGACAGUAACAGUUCAAUGUGCAGACAGUAACAGUUCAAAUAUCUAGACAGUAAAAAAUUAUAGUUUGCAAUUCAAGCAUUUGUGCAGGAGGAUAAAUAGGCAAUACAAACAAAACAUGUGAAAGUAUGCCACAUUCACCGACGUCACUACCGACGGAUAAACUUCUAUCGGUAUCUUACAGAGAGUUGCAAAAUAUUUACUGUUUUUUACCACAUUCACCGACGUCACUACCGACGGAUAAACGUCCAUCAGUAUCUUACAGAGAGUGGCAAAAUAUUUACUGCAUUUGCCACAAUCACUAACGGACAUACCGACGUCAUCACCGAUGUACGUUGCAAAUUCCAAUGCGCGCAACUGUCAGAGUGCCAGGUCGGUCAGUCCGUUUACCGACGGACUCACCGACGGAUUUUGCAAUUCUAAUGUGCGCGUGCUCUAACACCUCGAUAUCAACAUAAUUGCCAAAGGAAAUUGAAAAUUCUGGAGGGAUUUCCACAAAUUUUGGUGAGAAAUUCAAAAUAUACCGACGGAAAUUACCGACUAAAUUUAAUGCCACCGCCAAAAAAAAUAUUAUUUUAAGUUCCGUCGGUAAAAUUGCAGUAUAAAACCGACCCCCCCUCUCAUUCAUCUUCUAUUCUCCUAUGCUUCCUCAACAGUUUUGUUAUUGUUUUGAUUGAUUUCAACAUAUUAAAAGGUAUGAUUCUCCUUUCUUUAUCUAUGUAUUUGUUUACUUUUUUAUUUUACUUAUGAUUAUUUUUGUUGUGUUUUUUGUUUUGUGUAUUGUUUGUAGAUAAAAUAUUUAAAUCAACACACUAUUAAGGUAAAUAUUUUUCAUUGCUAAAGUCUUUAGUUUUUUCUUUUUAUUUGUUUAAUUUAUUUUAUUGUUUGUAUUGCCAUAAUAAUUGGAAAUUUUUUUAAAUUUGAAUUUUUAUUGUUGAAUUUACCUUUAAAAUGUUAAUUUAAAUAUAGAAUUAAAUUUAAUUAUUUUAACUCAAUUUUAUUCUAUUAUUGCUUGUUAUGUUUUUUAUUAUUUCCAUUAAUUUUAAUUGUCAUUUAUGUAUUUAUAUAGAUGUUACUUGAAAAUAUAUAGAUGUUAAAUUUCUAUAAAUGUUAGGUUGUAUAUAAGAUUUUCCAAUGGAGUCAAUUGGUUUGUGGUUAUUGUAAAUAUUUGCAGGUUUGAAAACUGUGGGUAGUCUCUAGUAUAGAGGAGGUGCUGCCGAAUGUUUUUUAAAUAAUCAAAUUUAAUUAUGUAAUUAUUCAUAUAAAUUUGUGUAGAUGCAUAGAAUGAAAUCAACAGCACGUCAUCAGCAGACGGUUGUAACUAGUUCUUCUAGCAGCGAGGAUGACUUAUCCUUAGGUGCUGAUCACGAAGAGGCAUCUACGCCAACUUGUGAUGCUGCCUCUUCUAGCGCAGUUUCACAGCGCAGAGGCGGUGUGCCUUCACAGCAGGGUCAAUUCACCCGCAAGUACCAGGCACAAUGGAAGGAUGACCUUUCAAUGUCAGUUUGUUUAGGUUUUAGUUUCUUUUAUAUACUUAUAACAUAAUUUAUGAACAACUAAUUAAUAUUUUAUUAAUUUUAUUUAAUUUCAGGUUCACAAACAUUGAGGCUGCCUGGACAAUAACAUCGCGUUUAAAUCAUCGAUGGAGAUUCCAUUGUUUCAAUGGAGUCAGGUUUCCAAACUUCCUGAGUGGAGACCUAAUAUCGAUGCAUGGUUUCGACGAUUUCAGGUAAGUGUAACUUCUAAUUUCUAGCUUAUUUUUAAUAAAUUAUUUUUAUAAUUUUAUAUCUUGUACUAUUUUUAUUUUAAAUGAAUUAUUUAUACACAUCACACAUUUGAGUGGGAUAGAGCGAACAACAAUGUUGUGUGGAGGGAAUGGGAGAAUCACGCGGCAACUAGGUAACAUCGAAAAUAAUAUAAUUUUUUGUUUUAUAAUUUUAUGUUCUAAAUUCUAAUUUGUUACUAUGGAAGUAGGUUGCGUGAUUUUUGAUAUGACACAAAAAAAAAAGCAAAAAGAUAUGCGAGAGAUAACGGUCUAGAAGGCUGAAAUGAGGUGGUGGUUUGGUGGGAAUUCAAACCACCAUUCAUCUCGGGGGAUAUAUGGACGCAAUAUAUUGAGCACGUGACGUCUGAGCGGUUCGCACAACGCUCACAGUCCGGUGUCGCCAAUCAGAAUCGGCAAAUUCAUGGUUCGGUUACCACGCACACCAACGGCUCUUUUCUGUUCGGUGCACAUGCGAAGCGGAUGGUAAGAUUAAUUUAAAUGAAAUAUAUCGUUAAUUAAUUUGUUGUUGCUUAUAAAUAUAUUUAACUUGCAACCUUUUUUUUCCUUACAGACUUCGUCUCUUGGACGUGUGUCGAGCCCAAUGGAGCUGUUUAUAGAGACGCACGUGCGGAGUCAAGACCGUCAAAAAGGGGUGCAACAGUUCGUGGACAACCAUGCUCAAUACUUCGUGGUAUGUUCGUUCAAUAAUUUUAUUUCGUAAGUUAUUAUUUUCUUGAAUUAAAUAUGAUGAUUUUUUAAACAAUUUUCAGGAGACCUAUAAUAACCGGUUGAGGGAGAGAUAUGGGGACAAUCCUUCGACCCAUCUGGAUUUCGAUCCGGAUUUGUGGAUGGAGGUAGGAUCGUCUGGUGGACCCGAUAAAAAUCAGGUCUACAGGCUCUCCAACACUACGGCCGAAAACUUGCGGACAGCCUAUAGUGUCUCAACCGUUGGGAGCUCUACAUCAGUAUCGAGCACCUAGUCUGAGGAAUUCAUGGCCUUGAAAUAAUAAUAUGAACGACUCUCGAUGGAUUAUGAUCAGCUCCGUCAAAUGGUCAUCGACAUUAGAUCAAGGAUGGGUGAUGAUACAUGUGCAGCCCCUUUUUGGCCGUACAGUCCCGGGAACAACCAGCCUCCUCCUUCUCCUCCUCCUCCUCCAACUCUGCCGUUAUUCUAAUUUAAUUUUGUUUUUGAAACACAUUAAAUUUAUAAUGAAUAUUUGGAUGAAUAUUAUUUAAAAUUAUUUUUAUAUUUUUAAUGUUUAAUACAAUUUUAUUUGGUUAAUUAGUGUUUUUUUACUAUAAAUCAAUAUAAUAUUUGAAAAAAAAAUUAUUUAUUCUAAAUACUUUUUUAAAAAAAAAUUUAAAUAAAUGCCGACGGACUUGCAGAUGGAAUAUGUCAGUCGGUAUUAGACAAAGAGUUGAAAAAAAUUUACGACCCAUGCCACAAUCACCGACGGCCCAUCCGUUGGUGAUUUACCGUUGACAUUGCCGACAGCCUAUAUCCGUCGGUAUUUUACAGAGAGUUCUGAAAUAUUUACGGCCCAUGCCACCGUCACCAACGGACUGGCCGUCAGUGAUUUACCGUUGGAAAUACAGAUGGAAUACGUCUGUCAAUAAAGUUCUAGCGCGGGAAAUUUUUUAUGGAUGCGCUUUCCUCGUCUGUAAGACCGUCGGUGUUUGUUUUUUUUCUGACAAACAUACCGAUGGAAGUGGGAAUUACCGACGAUCAAUAUUCUAACAGACAUAUUCUGUCGAUGAGACCGUCGGCAAAAAUUUUACCGACGAAUUGUGUGUUUUACACUGACAUAAUUAUUCCAUCGGUAAAACUGUUUAAUGGUGGUGUAGUGUAAUUCAUUGAUUGCCUAGGACUUUAUGCCUAUAAAAAGGCUUGUAAUUAAGCAUUAUUAAGAAGUACAAAAGAGAGGGAGAGAAUAGCUAAGAGAGGCAAAUUUGGAAAAGGAGUUUGUGGUAGCCAUAACAGGUCAAAUGAUCGAACACAUGAAGCAAAUCGGUCGAUCGAUUACAUUAAUAGUGACAAUCCAAAAUCUAGGUUUGACAAAUCAAAAGUUAAAUGCUAUAAUUAUCAAAAAGUAUGUCAUUAUGCUAGGGAUUGUUGGAGUCCAACUAAAAAGUUUUAGAAGAAUGCAAAUCUAGUAAUAUAAGAGAAAAGGGAAGCCACCCUAUUACUAGUGCAUGAUGAGAGAAUGCAAGACAAAUAGAACAUAUGGUAUCCAAACAAUGAAGCUAAUGUGUGGAGACAAAGACAGGUUCAUGGAGCUUGAUGAAGCAAUUAGAGGUGAUGUCACCUUUGCGAAUCAUUCAAAGGUUGCCAUAAAAAAAAUAUACGAUUUUGAUUAAAUUGAAAUAUGUAAGUCAUCAAUUUAUUCAUGAUUUUUAUUAUAUACCAAUAGGAAAAAGCAACAUAUUGAGCUUAGGACAAUUGUUGGAGAAGGGGUAUGAGAUUAAGAUGAAAUAUCGUACUUUGACAUUACUACAAAAGGAGCUCUGAUUGCAAAGGUAGUUAUGAUAAAAAAAAAAAAAUUAUAAUGUUCUUGUUAAACAUAGAGACAAAUGUGUCUAAAUGCCUAAAUGCAUGUGUGAAGGAUGAGACUUGAAUUUAGCAUAUGAGACUUGGGCAUGUAAACUUUGAUAGUUUGAAGAUGAUGGCAUAAAAGGAGAUGUUGAAGGGUCUACCAUCCAUUAUACUCUAAAUUAGUUGUGUGAAGGAUGUUAAGUGGGCAAGCAAUUCCCUAAGAUUUUUCUGAAGAAGUCUACAUCAAGAGCAAGUCAACCCCAACAAGAAAUACAUAUUGAUGUUUGUGGUCCUAUCAAACCAUUUUUUUGGUAAAAAAUUGUAUUUUUUACUUUUUAUUAAUGAUUAUAGUAUGAAAAACUUGGGUAUACUUCUUAAAAGAAAAGUCUAAUUGUAAUUUUAAUGAGUUUUAUGAAGAUCAUGAUAUAAAGAGACUCCUAACGGUGCCUAUAUUCCCACAACAAAAUAACAUGGUGGAGAGAAAGAAUAGAAGCAUCCUCAACAUGAUAAGAAGCAUGCUCAAAACCAAGAAGAUGCCUAAAUAGUUUUGGGCCAAAGUUGUAGAUUGUGCUAUUUACUUGUCAAAUAGGUGUCUCAUUAAAGGCUUGAAUGACAUGACUACAUAAGAAGCAUGAAAAUGAUCAAGUAAGGACCAAACUAGAUGAUAAGAGCAAAAAAAUAAUCUUUGUGAGUUAUGAUCAAAUAGAUUACAAAAACCAAAGUUAAUAAUGCCAUGCUUAUGACCUUGGUCAUGAGUUGGGCGGGUUAUCCCAGUUAGAGCCAAGUCAAUUCAAAAUGUCACUAUUUCAAUAUUUGUUUCUAUAAAAAAAAUGUUAAGCCGACAUCUUUUAAGAAAAAACUUAAAAGUCAAACUGAGUUUUAACUAGGUCGAUCCAGUUGUGAGUGCACCUACUAGAUCAACCGGGUUACACCAGGUCAACUCCCACAUGGAUUACUUUAAAACUCGGUCCAUACUAAAGCUCGGUCAAUGGAACACUAUUAUCAUAACCUAAUUUUUAUCCCCUUUAAAAAAUAAUUUUCAUCAUAAUAUUUAGUAGAUAAAAUUCGAUAGAUUUUCAAGAAAAAGACAAUUGUUGAAAAUUAAUCACAAUACAAAACAAAAUCAUAAAAAUGAAAGAAAAAAAGAAAAAAAUAAUUAAAGAUAAAAUCAAACAAAUAAUGAAUUUUCAAAAAGCAUGGACUAGGUUAUAGCAAUUACAAAAGGUUAAGGAUAAUUUUGAGAAAUAAUAAUGGAUUUGAUUGAAAGAAAAUUGAAUAAAAAAGUUGAAAUUGAUCAAAUUUGCAUGAAUUGAAAGACUUAGGACCAAGAUGAAAGAUAUGGAAAAGUUUGAAGGUCUUUUUAAUUUAAACAGUGACUUAAUUGAAGAAAUUUUGAUAUUUAAUAUCAAUUUAACUAAAAAUAAAAGAAUUAAAGGAUCAAGAACUAAAAUGUUGAAGAUACCUUAAUAGUAGUUUGAAUGCCACAAUAACACUCCCAAGUUGUAAAAUCAGUUUUGGUUUUGAAAAAUAAAACAACAAAAAUCAAUCAUAAAACAUGAAAUAUCCUCAAAAUGAGCCAUUCUUGUUAUGAAAACCAUAAAAAAGAUGUGUUUUUAGUUGUGUUGUUUGUCUUUAACCAAGCUUGGUCAUUAAGAGUUAAUAAUGAACAUAUCUUAGUAUGUUUUUAUUGAUGCAAUAAUUAAUAAAUAAAGUGCAUUACAUUUCAUACUAAACCAAAUAAUUCUUUUGGAAGCAACUUAUGGUUUUUUCAUGGUGGAAGUUGACCUAUUCUAAGCAUGAAAUAUUGUUGUUAUUAUGCAUGAGAAAAUAUGGUACGGAAAGUUUCUCUUCGUUAUUGGAACAAGGUUGGAUAUAACAUAUUGUGUGUAAAGCUGCUUUUGAAUCCUAAAUAUGUCAAUUUUCUAGGUUUCCAACCCAUUGUUUUGGUUAGAAAGCAUGUGUCAUUUGGUUUGGAGACUAUGGCAACUUAUGGUUAUCAUAAUCUAGAUUUUUUUUUUAUUCUUUUGAUAUCAUGUUUAACUUUGGAGAUUUAUAGUUCACCUUUCUAGGGUUUUUUUAGUUAUAGUGCACGCUCUAUUUGCUUAAUUCAUUAGGAUUUAUGCUAAAUAUACUUGAUUAUAAUAAACAUGAGGAAUUAUGGACUAGAUGCAUGUUUUGGUUAUUUAAAUGAUGCAAGCUUGAAACAUUUUCUUACAGGGUUAGGUUUGUUUAUCUAGGGUUUGUUGAUUAGGAAAGAAUUAGCUUUACUAAGAUUGUGUGCUUUAUGGUAAUCUUAGAUUAAACUUUUUGUUUUAAAAGAAAAAAAUCAACAAAAUCGUCUAUUUUUAAGGAUUAAUGUAUGUCAAAUUUAUCGAAGAGUCUCUUAUUCAUAGGGACCAACAUUAUUUUCUAAAAUAAAUCAUGAGUAAGCUUAGAAAUAUAUCUAGGUAAUUAAUAGCAUGUAUAGAAUAAAUUUAUGAGAAAAAACAUAGUAAAGAUAACUUUUUUUUCAUUUGAAAGGAUGUUAUAAGGGUGAUAUUGAUCUUCUCUUAAAGCAUAACUAACUUUGUAACUGAAUCUUUGAAACCGGUAUUAAUUUUAAAAUUUUUAGUUUUCUUUAUUUAUAUCAUGUAUUUAUCGUGGUAUAGAUCCCAUGAAAACAUACAACAUUACUUUAUAUAACAUUCAUGCGCGUCCCAUCCUUCUAAAGCAUGCACUAUUCCAGCCACACGCCAUGCGCUCAUCACUCUUCUUGGCAGCCAAUUCUGUCAUCAAGUAUUUUGCAAUACAAAUUAAUUAUCUUUCCUAAAAUAAGAAAAUAAUGCAAAUAGUACCUUAAAUUUCAGCAAUAUUUGACUAAUUAAUUACCUCGCAAGAGUCUAUAUUUUCAAGAGAUGCAGGGGCUGCCAUUGCUGGUAUGCUAUGAUAGAAGCAAUCCUUGCGCAAUUUCUUUGGGGGAAAUUGCGAGAAGGGAAUAAAUAAUGUUCCUUCUGCUGCUUUCUUUUGGUCCUCUUCUUUCAAUCCAUCACCAACUAACCACGUCUACACAACAAAGUUUAUUAUGAUAUUAGAAAUGUCAAUAUAUAUAUAUAUAUAUAUAUAUAUAUAUAUAUAUAUAUAUAUAUAUAUGCAUGCUACUUAAAUAAUUUAAGUUGUAAUUUAUUUUAUUUUUGACAAAAAAAAAAAUUAAUUUCUAAUUCCUUGGUAGCUAAAGAAAGCAUAUAUGUAGGUAUAGCGUACCUUUAUUGAAUAACUCUUUGAAAGAAUCAGAUUGUUCUGAUCAGAUGUGAUGCCGAAGGAUUUUUUAAGCUUCUGGUAAUCAUCCUCACAUGGAACAACUACCUAAAAAAUUAGUGAAAAUGAUCGUAAUAAUUAGGAAUUAGAAAUUAAAACAUGACCAUAAAUUAAAUUUGCCUAUACAAUCAAUUUAAAUAAAUUACUGUCAAAUUGAAGAAAGUUACAACAUGUGCCUAUUUGCCUAGUAGACAACAACAAUACCUAAAUGCCUAAAUGCAUAGAUGAAGGAUGAGACUUGGCUUUGUCAUAGAGACUUGGGCAUAUAAACUUUAAUAGCUUGAAGAUGAUGACAUAAAAAGAGAUAUUGAAGGGUUUACCAUCCAUUAUACAUCUAAAUUAGUUGUGUGAAUGAUGUUUAGUGGGUAAACAAUUUCACAAGAUUUUUCUGAAGGAUUAUACAUCAAGAGCAAGUUAACCCCUACAAAAAAUACAUGUCGAUAUUUGUGUUCCUAUCAAACCAUGUUCUUUCGGUAAAAAUCUGUAUUUUCUACUUUUUAUUGAUGAUUAUAAUAGAAAAACUUGAGUAUAUUUCUUAAAAGAAAAGUCUAAUGUGUUUAGUUUUUUUAAGAAGUUUAAGGCCUUUAUUGGAAAAAAAAAAAAAAGUGAUUAUUCUAUAAAACCACUUAGGACGGAUAGAGGAGUGAAUUUUGUUCUAAUGAUUUUAAUGAAUUUUGUGAAGAUCAUAGCAUAAAAAGACUCCUAACGAUGUUUAGAUCCCCACAACAAGAUGACGUGGUGGAGAAAAAGAAUAGAAGCAUCUUCAACAUGGCAAGAAACAUGCUUAAAAUCAAGAAUAUGCCUAAAUAGUUUUGGGUCAAAGCUGUAGAUUAUUCUAUUUACUUGUCAAAUUGAUGUCCCACUAAAAGCUUGAAUGACACGACUCCAUAAAAAGCAUGAAGAUAAACAAGUAAGGACCAAACUAGAUGACAAGAGCAAAAGGAUUAUAUUUAUGAGCUAUGAUCAAAUACAUUACAAAAAGCAAAGUUAAUAAAUUUAGUCAUGCUUAUGACCUUGGUCAUGAGUUGGGCGGGAUAACCCAAUUAGACCCAAGUCAAUUCAAAUUGUCAUUGUUUCAAUAUUUGUUUCUACAAAAAAAAAAAACAUGUUAAACCGACAUCUUUUAAGAAAAAACUUAAAAGUCAAGCUAAGUUUUAACUAGGUCGAUCCAGUUAUGAGUGCACCUACUAGAUCAACCGAGUUACACCAAGUCAACUCCCACAUGAUUUACUAUGAAACUCGGUCCGUGCCAUUUAAUAGAACACUAUUAUGAUAACCUAAUUUUUAUCCCCUUAAAAAAAUAAUUUUCAUCAUAAUAUUUAGUAGAUAAAAUUCAAUAGAUUUUCAAGAAAAAGAAAAUUGUUGAAAACUACUUAUAAUACAAAAAAACAAAUCAUAAAAAAUGAAAGAAAAAAAAAAGAAAAAUACAAUUAGAGAUAAAAUCAAACAAAUAAUGAAUUUUCAGAAAACAAGGACUGGGCUAGAGCAAUUACAAAAGGUCAAAGAUAAUUUUGAGAAAUAAUGAUGGAUUUGAAUGAAAGAAAAUUGAAGAAAAAUGUUAAAAUUGACCGAGUUUGCAUAAAUUAAAAGACUAAGGACCAAGAUAAAAGAUAUGGAAAAGUUUGAAAGUCUUAUUAAUUCAAACAAUGGCUUAAUUGAAGAAAUUUUGAUAUUUAAUGUUAAUUUAACCAAAAAUAAAAGAAUUAAAAGAUGAAGAACCAAAAUAUUCAGGAUGCUUUAAUAGUAGUUUGAAUGCUACAACAACACUCCCAGAUGGUAAAAUCAAUUUUGGUUUUGAAAAAAAAAACAGCAAAAAUCAAUCAUGAAAUAUCCUUAGCCAUUCUUGUUAUGAAAACCAUAAAAAAGAUGUGUUUUAAGUUUUGUUGUUUGUCUUUAACCAAGCUUGGUCAUUACGAGUUAAUAAUGAAGAUAUUUUCAUGUUUUUAUUGAUGCAAGAAUUAAUAAAUAAAGUGCAUUACAUUUCAUACUAAACUAAAUAAUUCUUUUGGAAGCAACUUAUGAUUUUUAAAUGGUGGAAGUUAACCCAUUCUAAGCAUAAAAUAAUAUUGUUGUUUUUAUCCAUGAGAAAAUAUAGUAGGGAAAGUUUCUUUUAUUUAUUGGAAUAAGGUUGGAUAUAAAAUAUUAUAUGUAAGGCUGCUUUUUAAUCCUAAAAAUAUCAAUUUUCUAGGUUUCCAACCCGUUGUUUUGGUUAGAAAGCAUAUGUCAUUUGAUUUGGAGAAUAUGACAAUUUAUGGUUAUCAUAAUCUAAGUUUUUUUUUUAUUCUUUUGAUACUAUGUUUAACUUGGAAUUAUAUAUUUUGGAGAUUUAUAGUUCAUCUCCCUAGGGUUUUUUUUAUGGUGCAUGCUCUCUUUGCUUAAUAUCCUUGAUUAUAAUAAACAUGAAGAAUUAUGGACUAUAUACAUGUUUUGGUUAUUCAAAUGAUGCAUGAAUGAAUAAUAAGAAGCUUGAAACCUUUUCUUAUAAGGUUAGGUUUGUUUAUCUAGGGUUUGUUGAUUAGGAAAGAAUUAACUUGACUAAGAUUGUAUGCCUUAUGUUAAUCUUAGAUUAAAUUUUUUGUUUUAAAAGAAAAAAAAUCAACAAAAUUGUUUAUUUUAAGGAUUAAUGUAUGUCAAAUUUAUCGACGAGUCUCCUAUUCAUAGGGACCAAUAUUAUUUUUAAAAAUAAAUCAUGAAUAAGCUUAGAAAUAUAUCUAGGUAAUUAAUAGCAUGUAUAGAAUAAAUUUAUGAGAAAACACAUAGUAAAGAUAACUUUUUUUUCAUUUGAAAGGAUAUGGUAAGGGUGACAUUGAUCUUCUCUUUAAGCAUAACUAACUUAGUAGCUGAAUCUUUGAGACCGGUAUCAAUUUUAGAAUUUUUAGUUUUAUUUAAUUAUGUCAUGUAUUCAUCGUGGUGUGAUAACUAUGUUAACAUACGAAACUAGGUUGGGUUUAAAAACAUUGUAAAAUAAAUCUCAUGAAAACAUAUAACAUUAUUUUAUAUAACAUUUAUGAUGGAAUCAGAUACCAGAGCAGGCAUAAAAGAAAGUAAAAAUAACCAUCAUAAUAUUCCAUUACUAAUUAUUUGUCCAUUGCAUAGAGAAAUAACAUAAUAUUAAUGGGUAGAGAUAACAUAUAUAGUAGUGGAUAACAUAUAUAUAUAUAUAUAUGUAGUUUGCAAUAUCAUGGAGGUGAUAUGCAACAUCUAAACCGUUUCAGGCAUGUAUAAUUAAUUAAGGCAAGGCUACCAACAUAAGAUAGCUAAAUAUCCAUUAGAAUUUUAAUGGAGUCUUGAUGACCAGAGGUUUGAACCCAUGUUGGAUACUUGCUUGCCAAACUUUGUCAAUGUCAGCCAUGGUAGAACCGCAUUCAUGCUCGUCCCAUCCUUCCAAGGCAUGCACUAUUCCAGCCACACGCCAUGCGCUCAUCACUCUUCUUGGCAGCCAAUUCUG